UUUUUUUUUGGUGGGUUCGGUGCAACUUGCUCCAAUUUAAACCCUCAUGCUUGGAUACUUUAGGGCUAUUUGAGCCCCAACUAGCUCAAACUAACUCUAACCCAUGGAUCCAAACAGGGCCUAUGGCCAGUCUCGACGCGGAGCAGUCGCGUGCACCGGGAAGCGGUGCUCUCUCGGCCGUCGCGCCACUUCAAAGCCGGCGCCAGUGAGAGGUCGCCUCCGCUCUGGCCGGGCAUUAAUGCGGCACUGACGCUCCAGGGCGACGCUGACCGUUUCACGCGGGAAGCGCGCGCUGGCAAGGGAGUAUAGGUUUUGAACCGUUUCAGGUGUAGUACUGGUAGUUUGCAAAACUACUCAAUUAUUGCACUCAGUUUCCUAAGAAAUUGUGGUAAAAAACGUUACUCUACAGCCCGCUUCCCUUCUCCUUCCUCUUCCACCGCCCGCGCACGUCCGCGGGAAGCGACCGGUCAACCCUUAUAUAGGAGUGCUAGCACAAAAAGAUGCAUGCAUGACCACUAAAAUUUCCAUAUUAAAGCGCCGCUCCGGCGGGAGUAUGGCGUAUGUUGUUACCUUCGGCCGGCCCAUGGCUACCAGGCGACGGCGACCAGAGAAGAGGCGGCGGGAGGGGAAUGAAUGCAGCUACUGUUUGGGUUCGCCUUCCGGCUUAAAUAAAUGCGCAGCAUCACGUGUACCCGCGGGUGCACAAAUUGUAACAUACGUGUCUGCUUAAGUGGGCGUCACAUAACUGGUGUGUGUGUGAGAGAGAUUCUGAGAGACAGAGUGCAUGUGUGCGACUCUACUCUUCGGACAUGUACUCAACCUUUUGCAUCGGGAUAUAAGUAUAAUGGUAUUUACUUUAGCUAGUGAUUUACGUGGCCAUGUUAACGUGGUUGUGUCAAAAAAAUGUCACUUCCUACUCGUGAUUUGCGUUAUAUAAUUACAAGCAAGAUUCUCGUGCAUUGCAUGGAACAUCAAUAUGCAUUUUUUUACAGAACACCUAUUGUGAUUGACCCAUGCAGGAGUAAUCCCAUGUGUAAAAACUAAUGAUAUCUCGAGAAUUUUAUCGGAAAACUGGUAUCUCGAGAAUGUCAUCGAAAAAAAUGAAAGAUGAGAGAUAAGGCGAGGAGGAGUGGAGCGUGGUGGUGACUGGUGGCGGAAUGGGCGGAGGCAUGGGGAUGGACGGCGCCGGCAGGCGGCAGCGGCCACCAUGCAUGCUAGAUUGUUCCAGAGACUUAUUCCUUUUUUAAUUGCUGAGCAAUGAGGUUGCGGGAGAUAAUGAUGUGGAGAGAGGUGCGGGUAUCUUUUGUAAAAUUAUCAUAGUUUGCUUUCUAUCCUUAGAUAUAGAUCAUACGGUCUGUAUUACAAGAUGGCAGGCACACCAUCACCGCCAACUCGUUUUUUUAUAAGGGUACAGAUGAUAAGUUUGCUGACUACUAAAGUAAAGUGGAAUUUGUCCAUGUUAUGCAAGUAAAUAAAGGUGACUGUUUAUCAUACGGGUAAGGUUGGAUGAAGGGUGGUAGGAACAAAUGCUCCGCCUAGAGCAUGUGUGUGUGAGAUGGAGUCUUAGUGUGUGUGUGGGGUGUGUGUGUGUGUGUGUGAGAGAGAGAGAGAGAGGAGAGAGAGGAGAGAGAGAGAUGGAGUCUUAGUUUGUGUGUGUGUGUGAGAGAGAGAUGGAGUNNNNNNNNNNNNNNNNNNNNNNNNNNNNNNNNNNNNNNNNNNNNNNNNNNNNNNNNNNNNNNNNNNNNNNNNNNNNNNNNNNNNNNNNNNNNNNNNNNNNNNNNNNNNNNNNNNNNNNNNNNNNNNNNNNNNNNNNNNNNNNNNNNNNNNNNNNNNNNNNNNNNNNNNNNNNNNNNNNNNNNNNNNNNNNNNNNNNNNNNNNNNNNNNNNNNNNNNNNNNNNNNNNNNNNNNNNNNNNNNNNNNNNNNNNNNNNNNNNNNNNNNNNNNNNNNNNNNNNNNNNNNNNNNNNNNNNNNNNNNNNNNNNNNNNNNNNNNNNNNNNNNNNNNNNNNNNNNNNNNNNNNNNNNNNNNNNNNNNNNNNNNNNNNNNNNNNNNNNNNNNNNNNNNNNNNNNNNNNNNNNNNNNNNNNNNNNNNNNNGGGGGUGUGCGUGCGUGUGUGUGUGUGUGUGCGUGUGUGUGUGUGUGUGUGUCGCGGGGUCCUCUGUGGCGGAUGUAAUUUAAGUGUGCAUGGCUUCAUCAUAGAGAGGUGAUGUGUAUGGCAGAGGCCACCAACGAUGGGGUGCGAGAGAGAAAAUGCCCAUAGAGAGGGAAGAGAAGGUGUGUGCGCGUGAGAGGAGUCGACAUCGAGAGAACGUGUUUGUUCGAGAGACACCGAGGAAUACUACUAUAUAUCGAUGGUGCAUGUAGGCGGGAAUUAAACAAAGGGAUGGUCUUAUUGGUUUCGGGGAUAUAGGGGAAGAGUGAGAGGCGGGGGGUAGCUAGAAGGAGAUUGUUAAGUGUGAGUGUGUGUUUUACCCAUCCAGGCGGAAGUUAUGUGCACAAAAGAGGAGAACGAUUCGAUGUGGCGUUAGGAUUGAGGGUAAUUAACUACGUAUGGAGACAUAGAGACCUUGAACGUGCAUGUGUGAGAGGUAUACAUGUAUACGUGGGAUGUGUGUGUGUGUGCGCGCGCGCAUGAUCGAGAUAAAAGAAAGAAGACAUAAGUCAUAAGAUCAACGACAUGGGAGAGACGGAUCGGUAUGACAAUAUGCAUGCAUGUGAGAAUGCAGGGAAGAAGGCCCGACAAUUGAGCAUGUGUUUUUGUCUUUAAGAGAUAGUGGCAUGGGCUGGAGCAUGCAUCUAUGGUGAGCAGAAGGAGUGAGGCGCAACGAUUGUGCAAAAGAGACCAACCUAUAAAUGCAUAUGUAUGGACAGACAUAUAUAGUGUGGGUGAUAGGAAGCAAGACUCCGUGCGAGAAAGAAAUGUUGACGGAGAAACUACAGAUAGAUACAGAGAUGGAGAUGCUAGCUAGAGGGACAUUCGCUAGUUUGGGUGUUGGAGAUGACAGUCGGGUGGUUCAAAGGGUGAAGUUAUAUAUGUGUAUGAGAGGGCACUUGACUGCAUGUAGAGAGAAACAUAUGUAGUGUGCGUGAUAGGAAUCAAGAGUGAGGGCGAGAAAGAAGGUUGAUGGAGAAACAGAUAAUAGAAAGAUAAAGAUGCUAGCUAGUGUGUGUUAGAGAUAGGAGUCGAGUGGAUCAGAAGGCUGGGUUAUGUGUGUGGGUGUGAGAGAGAUAGAGAGAGGGUGCAUGUGAGUCACAUACAAACAGAUAUCACAGAAAAAUGAGAUCCAGAGAGACGGAGUUUUGUGUCUGCGAGAGAGAAAGAUAUUUCACAACGAGAGUGAUAGCUAGAGAGACAUACGAGGGAACGCAAGAUAUCUCUAGGGAGAGAGGGUGUGUGUGAGCGACAUACAAGAGAAUAAUGGAGAAAUAUGAGACCCCGGGAGACAGAGUUUGUGUUUGUGUGUGAGAAAGAGACAUUGAAGAGGAAGAGUCGUAGGUUCUCAUAUCUAAGGAGCGAAAGACAUCUCUGUAUGAGGGGUGUGCGAGUGGCACACAAGGGAAUAGUAGAGAGAAAUGAGACCCUGGCAGACAAAGUUUUGUGUUUUUGUGAGAGAAAGAGAUUCCACAUGGAGAAACAUAGUUAGAGACACAUAGCAGGGAGCGAGAUAUACUUAGAGAGAGAUAGAGUGAUGAAGGUCGAGGGAGAGAGUACCGUCAGUGUGUUACGAAGAUAAAAGAUCAUUGUCGACAUACAGGUAGCACGAGAGAUACCUGAGAGACGAUGAACGCGUAUAGGUCCAGAGAGAUAGUCCUAUAUAAGCAUGAGUGAUAGCUAUAUGAGACGAAUAUCUGGAUUAAAGGGGACUCAAAUAUUUAAACUGGAGAUCACGACAUCGAUAAUAUCAUAACGCAAAUUGGUGUAUCAAACAUGCAUAUUCAUUUGAAUUUGGGCACACGUGUAAUGUUAUAUAGUUUAUCAAUAUUGGUGAUCCAUAGAUUCUUCAAUUACAAACAAUGCAUGGUUUAUAUGCAAUUAAUGUCUAAACGGGAUUACCCUAUAUGUUGCGUGUGUGAAACACAUUAUACAUGUUUGAAAAGUAAAAAAACCCGCAUGAAACACACAUUAAUUGGAGACAGUUAGCGAGGAAUGCAUACAUUGGAUUUCAACAUAAAGUGGUUUCAAAUAUUUGAAAAUCCAAAUUGAUGGAUACAACCUUAUGAAUCUGAGAUCAUGCCAUUUGUAAACCAUAUUUAUGUAUAAAUGGUGUUGUGCUUUUGAAAGUAUAUAUAAAAAAAUGAUGUAUAUAGAAUGUAAUUCCAAUUGAAAAUGGAUCCCGCCCGAAAAAAAUAGAAUACAAACGGGAUUCGAAUUGAGUUGGCACGGUAAACGUGCACUCUGCAAAAUUUGAACGAAGCGGGGAAAGUCGCAGUAACCGCCCGAAACCAAAAUCUGCGAGAUGGAAAUCACUACUGCCUAUCCCUGCCAUGCAAAGCCUAUCUGCUGGAUUUCUAUAGGUUUCGAUAGGGGUAGGUUUGUAAUUUCACCCAAACGUGACGUAACCGCCUCUCACCCGGAUUCAUACACGGUGGGUGCCAAAACACAGUGUGUCCUCGGCCGAAAUCGACUCCCUCCCCGAUUCAUAUUCAUACACGGUGGGCGCCAAAAACAAACUCUCGUCGGCAAAUAUUCGGUGUAUGCGAGAUUACUGUCCUAUCCCCAACCGACUAAUGUUGCUGUGAUGUAGUAGAAAUUUGAAACGGGGGCUAAUUUUGUAAAUUUCCUCGCAUUUGAGACAAGCGCGCCCUGAAUACAUGGUUCCCCCCUUCCUCUCUACCUCCCUUUUCCCCAUUCGUACUCCGUGGCGCCAAAACACCCUCUCCACCCCAACCUCCUCCAUCCGCCGCCGUCCGCCACCCCAUCCACCGCCGUCCUCCUCCACCAUGCCGGAGCUGAUACCCUGACGCCGCCGUCCAUUACAAGAGAUCGACCUCUCUCAUCCACGGCUUCGGACCGGGAUCCUUGCAUCCCCUCCUCUCGCUUCAUCCCCGCCAUCGUCCACCUUGCCAGCGCCGCUCCUACGACCGUCUCGUCCACCGUGCCCUGCCGCCACCGUCUGCCCUCCUAGAUCUGCUUCCACACCGCCGACAGCCAUCGCUACCGCAGCACCGUCAAAUUCUCAGCAGAUGUGUACAUGGCACCACACCAGAGGCGGUACUCUUUUGUAUCUGCUCAACUUAUUUAUCGCAGCAAGAAAAUAGAUCGCCACUGCUUUACUCUGAUUUCUUGUCUUGGUUGCGAAGUUGCCUUUGUCCGGUUUGCACCUUCAGAUCCGCCAUGGCACGCUCAACACUAUACUCCCAAUGCUUAUGGUUUUCCCCUUUUAUAUUCCACACUAGUUAAAUCACAGUAGACUAAAUUUCAAAAUUGGGUCAGUCGAUUUUUCAGAGCUCGCUGGAGUUCGCCGGUGCGAACGAAGGGGCUCGGGUGGUUGUGGGGCCUCGCCAAACGAAGAAAACUCGACGCGGGUGGGGGUUGGGGCGGGGGUGGGGGUGGGGGUGGCGGAGGAACACAGGCGGCGGGGGCCGGUGGUCCGGCCGGCAGCCCGUGCGGUGUUCUGUAUGGGAAGAAUCAGAGACGAGGAAGAAGAUGGGUUAGGAGACGUAGGAUCUUCAUCCAACCGCCUGAAAUGGUCGAGAGACAGCUGGGAGUUGCAUUCUUAAUGCGCUCUGGUUCAUCAUGUGUGGGCACUGCGCAACCAACAUUUUAUUAUCCAAAAUCUGCUUGCUCUUCUUUACCAUGUUCCUCUUCCGUUCUUCUUUAAUAUGUACUCUCUCUGUUCCUAAAUACAAGUCUUUGUAUAGAUUCCACCAUGGACUACAUAUGGAGCAAAAUGAGUGAAUCUACACUCUAAAGUAUCUGGAUACAUCUGUAUGUGAUCCAUAGUGGAAAUCUCUACCAAGACUUAUAUUUUGGAACGGAGGGAGUAUGAUAGUGGUACAGUAUGUUCCUUGUACUGAAGAUGAGCAGGGACUUUUGCAGUGUAGAGGUCUAUACGGUCGGUUGUGAUGGACACUUUGUGCCUCUUUGAUUCCUAGGAUCUUGUAAACAUAGGAAUAGGAUUUGUAGUCACCUGCCCACUUGAAUCCUAUAAGAAUAGCAAGGAAAUGCGGGGAGCUGUAUCGCCUUUGAGAGUAACACUGAUAUUAACAGUACCGCACCUUCACUUGAAGAGAGCUGGUAUCCGAAGCCUUUCUAGCCGUACCGGCAAUACUACCACAUAUAUUCCAGCAAGUUCCACUUUGCUGAUUUUAUUCUGAUGCUUACGGUUUUCCCCGUUAUAUCUACACUAUGAUCUGUGUAGCUGCUUUGUGUCACACUAGCAGCAGUCCACUCUUGAAGCUAAACACUGCAAUGACUUAAAAAAUUGGCACCAAGGCAUUGAGUGCCAUUCUGGAUGCAAUGAAACUCAUACGCUCCCCACCUCUUGAUUCUUGUUCAGAAUAUGAUCCUAAUGACUCUUGUUCAAAAUUGCCACAUAUAGAGAGACAGCAUGGAACUGCAUUUCUUUGGGCGCUGUGAUUCAUCAUGAGUGGGCAACCAACAUUGUAUGCAAUGAAGCGGAACCUCAAGAAUAUGCUUCCUCUUCUGUUCUUUAACAUGUUCCUCUUUUUUUAUUCUGUAUUUAGUAUGUACAGUAUGUUCCUUGUCAGGAAGGGGCGCAGGGACAUCUGCAGUCAACAGCUGAUAGAGCUGGCCUGUACGUGAUCGAUAGGCUUUCAAUUACUAGCGGCAAUACAACACCGUAUUUUCAAGCCAGUUCCACUUUCCCGAUUUAUAUAUCGUGGUUAUGGUGUACCCCUGUUAUGUACACUAUGAUCUGCCUAGUUGUUGUGUGCUCUUGUUAUCAUGGUUUGGCAAUAAACUCUCUAUAUAGUAUAUUAUGAACCUAUCAUCUGCCAGCUAUCCUUACUUCUGGAGCCUAUUUUUGUGUGUACUUGUGCCAAAUAAUAUAAAUGCACGCACCAUAUUACAGCACACAUGAGCUCUCUCAUCAGAAUCCAGUGAUAGCACACAAGUGUUUACAGGGGCGCCCCUAUAUUAGAAUAUCAUCUGCAUUACAAAGAUAACCUCACAACUAUUUAUGUUUUCAUGGUUCUCAGAUAUUAUGCGCAAUUACAGUGAAUAUCAGAAUCCGCGCAUCAGAAGAAUAUUGUGGAACACUUUGCAAUGACUUAGAAAAUUAGCACCAAGGCAUUGAGUGCCAUUCUGGAAGCAAUGAAACUCAUACGCUCCCCACCUGUUGAUUCUUGUUCAGAAUAUCAUCCUAAUGACUAUUCUAACCUCGAGGAGUCAAAGGCAGAUGGCCUGUCAUGUUCACCCAUCAAGGUGCCUGUUCUAAUUUGGCAAGGUUUUAUUGAUUGCGCGUAUCUUGCAUAUGUUGUCUUGCAUUUCUUCUACUUUGUUGCACCGCCAUCUGCUUAGUUUACUCAUCAUAUAACUCGAGAUGCCAUGCCCAUCCAUUAUCAAUACAUAUUCCAUCUGUCAUCAUACCAUGUUUUUCCACUCAAAUGUUGUUCUUGUGCAUCAGACAUCAAAAAGGAAGAGAGUGAUUGCCGAACCUGAAGGAGCACCAGCAAAGUCCUUGAAAAACGUGGUGGUGCCGGAGAAAUCAGACAGCGCCCCACUUAUAUUGGCUGUACAACCAGUGACACUAAACGUAGGACCGACUCCAGCAUACUGUACCCAUACUUCACUGGCCGCACCACUAGCCCCACCACACAGGACCUGCACUCCAGCAAAAGGUAUACCGAUUUCAUUUGCCAUAGCACCAGCUGUACCACAGAAAAAUCCCACUCCAGCAAAAAGUACAGCAAGUCCACCGGCCGAAGACCUAUCCCAACUGCAGAGACGGCCAAUUCCUGCAGGUUGGAACCCCAUUCCAUUUAUUCCCAGUUUAAAAGACAAUGCUUUCAAUGUUGUUAGGGACUACGUGCAUAUAUUCCCAUCAUGGGAAGAUUAUAGUGAAGACAAACACCAUUUUCACAUCUUCCUGUCCAACUUACGUGUAAGUGCUAUUAUUCAUGGUUAUUAUUUUCCUGUUUUCUGCUGAUCGAACACAUCAAUGAUUUACAUUACAUUGUUGUAACUAGGCGAGGGUCAAUCUGGAUAGUCAUGAUGAGCAAAGCUUGCUUGUGCUUUUCAAGGAAGCAUUGCAGUAGUAUCGGUGUUACCUGAGGAAAUCACACUUUGAUGGCAAGUCUAUAAACGAAUUUCCGGUGAAGUCUCCUGUGCUAAAUUUAGAAGACAUUGAAUGGAAAAACCUUGUUAUGCACUGGUCUCGUUCCCAGGAUGAGGUACUGUCUAUGAAAUCAAAUGACAAUUUGAACUUCUACUUUUCCGCAUGUGCCUUACGGAUCUUUUUUGCAGGAAAUCUGCUCGAAGAAGAAUUCUGGUUUGAAAAGAACGACAGGAUAUUGCAAAUAUGUUGCCCGCUGCUUUGCUCUUGUUAGUACCUGUUGUCCUGUAUCACUGUACUUGCAUACAUACCUUGUUCAUUAUGUGACAGCAGUAUGUAUGAUAGCUUGCUUAUCAAUUGUUCGCUCCAAAUUAUCUGAUCUGUAUGAAUGGUUACAUGAGUGUAGAAUAUAUCCAAUGCCAAUGAUUUUUUUAGCUCUGCAUUGUUCUUGUAAGUACAUGCUGUCCUUUAUCAGUGUACUUAUAUUGAUAGGUAGUUGUUCAUCUACCAUCACUCUGCAGCUUAUUUUCCUUUGCCCUCCAUUUUCUACACAUCAGAUCUAUAUUUACUCUUACCAUAAGGUUGGUACUGAAGAAGUUUAGGUGUGCAUUGCUCUUGGUUGUGCCUUUUGCCUGUAUCGCUGCACAUACAUUUAUAGCUACUUGGUUAUGUAGCAUCACUCUUCAUCUUAUCUUAAAUAUUCUCCAUUUUUUCGUAUAUUAUCACAUCUAUAUUUACUCUUAACAAAAUGUAGAAUAAAGGCAAUGCUUAUGAAGAAGAUUCUGUGGUAAACUUCUUGAAUUGCCCCCCCCCCCAUCAGCAUGGACAAGGGCUUUAUAGAGCCUGUCUUCACCAGUAAUGUAAGUUUGUCCUUCUCAAGCCUUCAAACUUUGUUGUGUAUAUUUGGUUAGGCAUGACUGCAACAGCUAUUUAUUUUUGGUGUUUGCAUCAAAUUGCAUGUUUAAAGUUUAUUAUGUAGUUCAUAAACAAAAGUUUGUCCUUCUCAAUUUAAGUUUUCAGUUGUACAACCAAGUUCCUUCUUCAUACCAUGUAAAUUAAACUAUACAGAGCAAGUGAUCUUCUUUUGCACUGCAUGUAUGCUUCUGUUCUUCAUCCGUAAUCCAGUGGUGUGGUGAACCUACCCACUACAACACAAUGUCAUAUUCUGCAAUGUCUUAACUAUGAACAAUGUCAUAUCAUUCUACUAUUAUUUAAACCAUCUCUUUAUUUGCCAAUCUGAAAUGGGAUAAAUUGACAGCACACUAACCAUUGAUACUUAUGAGUUCUUGAUCUGUAAUCCAGUGGUGUCGUGAAGCUGCCAACUCCUUCACAAUGUCAUUUCCUGCCAUGUCUUGACCUGAACAAUACCAUAUUGUAUUAAUGCAAUUUUAAACUGUGUCACUUUAUUCGUCAGUAAGAAAUGUGAUGAAUUGUCAGCACAGAUACUUUUAUGUGCAAAACCUGUCAUCUGUCUGCUUGUUUAUCUUUCAGAGUGAGGAAGAUAUAAGUGUUGAACAAGCGCAGUCUCAUCAUCUUGCUCAGGUGGUUGCGCUGUAGCUCGCCAGCAGGGCUAACCUUUCUUGAACUCUAUUGAAGUGCUGUCGGUUUUGUAUAUUAUUUUGUCAGCGUGUUUAUUUGCACUGGUGGCGAUCUUUGAUGCCCAGUGUAUGUAAUCUGCUAUCUGCUUGUGCUUUAUUAUCAUAGUGGCGAACUUUGAUGCCCAGUGGAUGUAAUAUGCCGAAAUUUCUUUAUUGUAUAGUCUAGGUUUUUUCUUAUUCAUGAUGCUGCAGUUAUUUUACUGUAUAUAUAUAUCAUGUCUUCACCGUAAACCGGCCAAACCGUAAAAUGACGGUACAUAAUCGGGCCGCAUGCAAUCACGAUGUAUGAUCCGCAUCAUGGGCCUCGUCAAACUGGCCCACUAGUAGAUUCGGGCCUUUAAUAGGCCGAGUAACCCCCGGCCCUCUUUUCGCAAGAAAACUCAAUGGGCUUUUAGGAGGCUGAGAAGUAGGUUGGGCCUGAAACGUGCCGAACAGCUCACGGGCCGGCAGUAGCCCGAAAUGGACCCCCGACCCAUGAUUGUGUGAAUCAAAUCACGGGCUUUUAACAGGCCAAAAUUGUCUCGGUCCUUGUUUGGCCCAAUCAGAUAUCGGCUGCGAGCAGGCUGGAUGCAAACCGGGCCGUAGUUAGGCCCAACUAUAUGACGGGCUUUUAACAGGCCGAAAUUAAUAUAGGGCCAAAAUGUUAAACGGGCCCUUAACAGGCCGAAACUAAUAUUAGGCCGAAUUACUAAAUGGGCCUUUAGCAAGUGGGCCCAAAAGCACAACGUCUAGUUAACGGGCCCAAUCUGAUAUGGGCCAUAAUUGAGGCCAAAGCCUCUUAAAGGGCCGGACCUGAUCUGGGACGUGAUUUGGCCCAGAACGUGGGAGGCUUUUAACGGGCCGGAUCUCAUAUGGGCCAUUAUUAGGCCCGAAACGUGGCAGGCCAUUAAUGGACCGGAUCAAAUAUGGGCCGGCAUUUGGCCCAAAACAUGGCAGCCAGUUAAUGGGCCGGCCUACUAGGGUCCUCAAAAUCUUGUGGGCCUACAGCUAGGCCGGCCCAUUAGUGUCGGUGAAAUCUCGUCGGCCUUUAGCUGGGCCGGCCCAUUAUGAUCCGCAAGAAUUUUGUGGGCCUUUACCUGGGCCGGCCCAUUAUGAUCCGCAAGAAUUUUGUGGUCCUUUACCUGGGUCGGCCCAUUAUGGCCCGCGAAAUCUUGUGGGCCUUUAGCUGGGCCAGCCCAUUAUGGUCCGCAAAAUCUCGUGGGCCUUUAGCUGGGCCGGCCCAAUAUGGUCCGCAAAAUCUUGUGGGCCUUUAGUUGGGCCGGCCCAUUUAAACUUGAUGGGUCGUGCCACGUGUCGACGUAUCAUAGGCGCCUUCUAUCCAAUGAGUGGAUGACAUCUGUCCCAACGAUGAGCCGACACGUGUUUCCUCCAGCCAAUGAUGAUUUUACACGUGGAAAAUCCCCAUUGGUCGCGGAUGUUAACGGGUUAUCGGAUCCAAAACCCGACCCGAUAGCUUAACGGCGUUCCGUUACGGUGGAUGCCACGUGUCGGUCACCCUUGACGAAAGCACUUCUGUGACGCGCGAUUUAUCGUCACGGAAGUGGACACUUCCGUGAUGAUAAUUUUGGUAAUGUCAUGGAACACUUCUACGACAGCACAGGUAUGACUAUCUUGAUUCUGUCAUAAAUUUGUCAUGGAUGUACAUGCAUGAAAAAAAACGCGACCUACUGUGACAAACACGUAUCAUCACGGAAGUGUAUUUUUUUGUAGUGAGUAUCGAUGGAUUGCGCCAUGGAGCAAAACUUGAAAUUAAAAAAAAGGUGGUACAUAUAGAGAGCGCUCGUCACCAAAUUAUGCAUAUAGUACUAUUAAAAAGGCUAGUCACAAUAAUGGUGUCCAGCACAACCCACCCCUCAAAUAAAACUAAGAGGGUGCUUGGAUACUUUUUAGUCCCAUGACUAAAAGUAGUGGGACUAAAACAUGCUAGCCUCACCCAUGCUUGGAUCCAAAUACUAAAAAGGCUAAAUAAAGUUAAUGAGCAUUUAUUAUCCUCCAAACCCUCCAAUCGAGAACUCGCAUGUGUUAAAGGAGAGGAGUUAAAUGAGUAGAGAGAGGACUAAUCCACAUUUUAGUAGGGGUACCCCUGACUAAAAAAAUUUAGUCUCAAGACUAGUUUUAGCCCCUCUUUAGUCAGGGGUGCUUGGAACUUUAGCCUCUUAAAGAGACUAUUUUUAGUCAGACUAAAAUAAGUCCCUUGGAUCCAAGCACCCUCUAAGCAUCCUGGAAUUCUUUGACAAAACUAAGCACCCUGAAAUUCUUUGACAACUAUACUGCUGGCUAUAUGAUGUUGGCCAUAUAUAUUGUACGUAUAUAAUGUGAAGAAACGAGUGGUAGUACUAUACCAACUAAAAGAUGAAAUGUAAGAAAUACUAGUAUGUACGUACUGAAGAGUUAAAGUAACGAGAAGAAACAUAACAUAGUUCUGCUGGGGGCUCAGCACAACACACCCCUCAAAUUAAAUUAAGCACACUUGAAAUUAAACUUUGCAACUAUUCCGGUAGACACUGCAUUAGAACCACCAUGAGCAACGACACUGCCACCUUACUCGGAGUCCUCGUCCACGUCCUCGACUUCGUCCUUGUCCCUCUUCCUCUUGGCCGAUACUUCUUUGGUUGAACCGCACACUUGGUUGUUGCUCUUCAUCCAACACUUGUAGAUAUUGAAGCAAAGGUAACCAUCCCAUUGCAGCGUAGUGGAUGUGGUCUAUAUCUAGUACAUUCCGCUGCCAUGCAUGACGAUGAAACGUGUAUGGAGGUUUCUCCAGUUUACCGUACGAAGGAUGAACCAUGGCUCCUGCCAGGGUCAGCAUUGAAGGUUGACGAGAGGACACCAGCCGAUUCUUCUGGAGGUCGAAGGUGUUGCCUACAACGAGGCCUAUCCGACGCAGGACUUCUUUGUCGUUACCAAAGUCUACAGUAACGAAUUCGACUAGGUUGCUCUCGAGGAAGUCCUUAAAAUCCUGGCACUCAACGUCGGCAUGGCAUAUGUGGUAGACCAAGCAUAAGUCAUGCACGCAAACCUGGAUCAUGGCGGGCUUCUUCCUCUCUUCGUCCUUUAUAUCCUUCUCUCGUCCCAGGACUGUGGUGUACUCAACAUCUAGCCCAGUGACCCACUCAUCAUCUGAGUCUUCGAACAUGCGUCUGAAGCGAGAAAGGCAUCCUUUCACCGUCGCAGAAGAACGGGUGUAGAUGACGUCGAACUCAUCGCUGGUGAUGGUUCUAACCUUGUACUCACCGCCGAUCGUGGAGAUUUGGGACGCCAUGGAUUUGGGAGGAGGGUUAGGAUUAGUGGAACUGCCGUAAUGUGAAUGGACGGGACGACUAGGUGCGAACCGCCGUAGUAUUGAAGGACGUGCGGGGACGAGUAGGAGCGAACUGCCAGCGUGCGAACGGCAGGGUAGUGGCUUUCCAUUCUCCCAUGAUACGGGCUUCCGAGAGGCCUUGGAUCUGAGAUCGAACGGUUGCAUGGCGUGACUCUAGACCUAUGGGUGAAUAUCCUAUCCUGGAGGGUUAUUCUGCAAAUUUUCAGCAACUUAGCAUGCGACCGUUUGAUCUCAAAUCCAAGGGCUGCCAACAGCCCGUAUCAUGGUCGCGCCUACCACGACCGUCGCGUCGCUCGCGCGGUCGCGCCCUUGGAGAUUUGACAUGGUGCGUUAGGCUAUCUGAUGUUGGCAUGUCAUACAUAGUCAUCACUUAGUCACUCAUACUACAACAAGGUUGGCUAUAAGGUUGGCUAUAAGUGUAAUUUUUUUUACUCCUCUCUAUCUCUUUCUUCGUACUCCCUCCGUCCCAUAAUAUAAGAAUGUUUUUGACACUAGUGUAGUGCCAAAAACGUUCUUAUAUUAUGGGACACAGGGAGUACUAGUAUUUAUUGCAUUUGCCAAGGAGUGACCUCUUCCAAUGAAAUGGUGUUGCUAAGUUUGCUUCAUUUAAUUAGCUAUAGACUCAAAAUUGUCUUUUCACCUAGGUACACGCGCUUAACACCGUUUCUUCCUUGGGUCACCAAACUAGUCUCUCUCUUCUUGAUUAACUUGCCACAUCAGACUUUAUGCCUAUGUGGCAAGCUUAAGCACCUGUAGGAGCAAGUAAAAGUAAGUACAAUAGUGCGCUUUACAUGGCUUUUUUGCAUAUGUGGAGGAAAGAGAGGCAAGGAAAAAGUGGAGAAGUGGGCUCUCAUGCAAGAGCCAGCCUCUACUACAUGGUGGAGCAUUGGGACAGGCACCUGUAUGGAGGUGGUCAGGAAUCGGGAGACUCACGCCGGUCGUAGCACCGCAGUUAAAAUGAUAAUGGCAAGUCAAAUCACGGGGCCCCAUCUGUCCAGCAGUAACUCGUUGUCAAAUCACACAGCCCUACGUUUGCAGCAGCCUACUCCCUCGUCUUCUCGCGUCUCUGUCGAACCGACUAGGCGGAACUGCCCCGCCUACCGCGCAGGAAAAGCCCCGCCCUCGACUUUUAAAUAGUAUACAGUUUUGGAAUCGGGAGACUCACGCCGGACGAAGUUUUGGCAAGUGUUGGACGUGGUUUUGGGCUGCCCCGUCUAGGCCUGCUCCCUACUCCCCGCGGCCGGCUCUGCUGCCGCGCAGGCCUCACCGCCCCACCGUACUCCCAUCGCUGGCCUAGCCAUCCCUCUACUCACCCACACCUGCUGUUAUUCUCCGGCGACGGCAGACGAACCAGUAAACCCUCGUACAGUCGUACUCUCCUCCGCGUGGGAAACAACUGCCGAGUCUUCCCUGCCUCUGUGUCGUUCCCUUCCUAGGCCUCGCCGUCAUCCACCGCCCUGGUGCUCUCGGCGCGGCCUGGUCAACGUGGUCAACGACCGACAUGCAUCUGGAGUGGACUGUACGUGGAGAGGCCGACAGCUGGGUCCACGGCCGCACGCAAGGAAAUGUCUCCUUAUUACGCGCAAAAUAAUGAUUCCUCCACCUCACAUCAGGGACCCACCGAAAGGGCAUCUGUAUUUCGUGAAAAAAAUGUUACUGCCGCUGACAGCUCGGACCCACCAGCUAUAUCUUCGCACGCAAGGAAGUUCCUCCUUAUUACGCACAAAAAAUGAAUACUCCCCCUGCUAGCUGGGACCCACCAUGGUGGGAGGCUGACUUGUGGGCCUACUAAGUUGACUGGGACGGGGGCCUUUGUCAACUUUAGUCAAUAUGAACGAUUCUAGCUCCAGUGACCGUAAGAUGUCCAUCCAACGGCCGUAGUGCUUCUUCAACCUCUGGUCUUCAUGCUCCAGCCGCCCAAAGCAGCGCCGAUCGUGUCGCAUGCUCCUGCCUCCCGUGGCUGGAUGUGCUGCCGCGGAGGCCUCACCGCCCCCUACUAUUCCCACCGCUGGCCAGGCCCUGCGGCGACGGCAGCCUCACACCGCAGCCGAACCAGUGAACCCUCAUACUCCUCUCCGCGCGGGCUUCCACUGCCGCGUCUUCCCCGGCUCCGCGUCAUCCCCUUCCUAGGGCUCGCCGUCGUCCACCGCCGUGGUGCUCUCCGCGCGGCGUGGUCAACGUGGUCAAGGAACGACUUCCAUCGGAAUAGUACUGUACGUGGAGAGGCUGACAGCUGGGUCCACGGCCACAGCCCAGUUUUUUUGUGAUUUGCCAAAUAAGUCGCUUUGUCAGGCCUGUUGGGCUGCAAAUCUUUCAAGACGAGGAGGGCUUUCAUUCGGCUGGCCGAGAAAAUGGCCCAUCAGUAAUGAGAAAUGGGCUGUACAUUUUUAAAACACAUCAAACCGGCAAUUAGUUUCAAAUAUCUUUUUUUCAUUUCGAGAAUUUAAAUUACAUUAAUUUUUAUGCGUGGAGAAUUUGUUGAAUUUUAUAUUGAUAUACAUUUAUUUUUAAAAUCAGUUUGAAUGUGAGUCGAAAUUUCGGGAUUAAAAACAGUUCGGACCGCACCGAAUUUUGUAUAAUUUUUUAACCGUGGCCACAAUAUGGGUUGUAAUGCUAACAAAAAGAAUAUGGGCUCCAAAAAACCUUAAUAAUUAGCAAAUGCGCUGUAAAUUACUAGAAAUAAUGGCAGAUGGGAUGUAUGCUGUUUUCCACAGAUUUGAGGCUUUCCUAAAAAAAGGUUGACGCACAAGCAGUGACUGUUGGAUGGCCAUCCAACGGCCGUCGUGCUUCUUCAAUCUCUGCUCUUCCUGCUCCAGCCGCUCAAACAAGCGCCGGCGGGACUGCCUGCUCCCUCCUCCCCGCGGCCGGCUCUGCUGCCGCGCAGGACUCACCGCUCCACCGUACUCCCAUCGCUGGCCUAGCCAUCCCUCUACUCACCCACACCUGCUGUUAUUCUCCGGCGACGGCAGACGAACCAGUAAACCCUCGUACAGUCAUACUCCCCUCCGCGUGGGAAACAACUGCCGAGUCUUCCCUGCCUUCGUGUCGUUCCCUUCCUAGGCCUCGCCGUCGUCCACCGCCCUGGUGCUCUCGGCGCGGCCUGGUCAAUGUGGUCAACGACCGACAUGCAUCUGAAGUGGAUUGUACGUGGAGAGGCCGACACCUGGGUCCAUGGUCGCACGCAAGGAAAUGCCUCCUUAUUACGCGCAAAAUAAUGAUUCCUCCACCUGACAUCAGGGACCCACCGAAAGGGCCUCUGUAUUUUGCGAAAAAACGUUACCGCCGCUGACAGCUCAGACCCACCAGCUAUAUCUUCGCACGCAAGGAAGUGCCUCCUUAUUACGCACAAAAAAAUGAAUACUCCCCCUGCUAGCUGGGACCCACCAUGGUGGGAGGCUGACUUGUGGGCCUACUAAGUUGACUGGGACAGGGGCCUUUGUCAACUUUAGUCAAUAUGAACGAUUCUAGCUCCAGUGACCGUACGAUGUCCAUCCAACGGCCGUAGUGCUUCUUCAACCUCUGGUCUUCUUGCUCCAGCCGCCCAAAGCAGCGCCGGUCGUGCCGCAUGCUCCUGCCUCCCGUAGCCGGCUGUGCUGCCGCGGAGGCCUCACUGCCCCCUACUAUUCCCACCACUGGCCCGGCCCUGCGGCGACGGCAGCCUCACACCUCAGCCAUACCAGUGAACCCUCGUACUCCUCUCCGCGCGGGCUUCCACUGUCGCGUCUUCCCCGGCUCCCCGUCGUCCCCUUCCUAGGCCUCGCCGUCGUCCACCGCCCUGGUGCUCUCGGCGCGGCGUGAUCAACGUGGUCAAGGAAUGACUUCCAUCGGACGUGGACUGUACGUGGAGAGGCUGACAGCUGGGUCCACGGCCGCAGCAAGGAAGUGCCAACUUAUUACGUGGAAAAUAAUGAUUCCUCCACCUGAUAGCUGGGACCCACCGGACGGGCCACUGUAUUUCGCGAAAAAAAACGUUUCCCCCUGACUGCUGGGACCCACCAGCUACAUCUUCGCACGCAAGGAAGUGCGUCCGGGCAAAAAAACGAUUCGCCCCCCUGACUGCUGGAACCCACCAGCUACAUCUUCGCAGGCAAGGAAGUGCCUGACAGUCGGGACCCACCUGGUCGAAGCGUACGUAGCAUUGUCAUUCUGGUCGCGAAUGUGUACGUACAUACUGGUCGAUGUAGAGGCGCGCACGUAGCAUGUACACGUAUGUACAGCGGCCAGUGUGCAAGAAAGAAAAUACGGCCAAGUACGUACAUACGGGCAGGGUCUCGAACGCCUACUCGCGCAUACGUACGGCCAGGGCUCGUGUACAUGGCUGGGUCGAAACGGAGAAAUAGCGUCGUCGUCGUGUUCAUGGGGAGCCAACCGGCUGGGUCGGAACGGAAUGCGUCGUCGUGUUCAUCGGGAGGGCUUGGACAGAACAGCCGAUGGAAACGAGGCCUGGCGUACCGCAGAACGGAGGAAACGGCCUUGUGUUCGACCGGCCACGUUUGAAACGGGAUCCUGUUCAUCGGGAGGGGUCUAGCAUACCGCAAAACGGAGAAAACGGACCUCAUAUGGUCGAAACGGGGGUCCUGUUGAUCGGGAGGGGUGUGGCGUACCGCAAAACAGAGGAAACGGACUUGUGUUGGAGCGCUACGGUCGAAACGGGGGUCCUGUUUAUCGGGAGGGGUGUGGCGUACCACAAAAUGGGACUCCACGGGACACUGCUCAUCUCCACCGUCGACCCCCUCCCGCCUCCACGGGCUACUGUUCAUCCACCGUCGACCUCCUCCAGCCUCCACCUGCGACUGUUCAUCCACGGGCUCCUGUUCAUCCAGCCUCCACCACACAAUACUCCACCAGCUACUAUUCAACCAGCCCUCUCCACGGGCUCCUGUUCAACCACCCCUCCACGGGCUACUGUUCAUCCAGCCCUCCAUCGUCUACUGUUCAUUCUGCCCUCCACGGGGUGGUCCUGUUCAUCCUGCCCUCCACGGGGUCCUGUUCAUCCAGCCCCAACCGGCUCGAUCGAUCGGGGUCCUGUUCAUCCAGAGGCAACACCACGGGGUCCUGUUCAUCCACCCACACCAGGAACUGUUCAUCCAAACCCCCCAGCAACGCUCACUGUUCAUCCAGAGGCAGCAUCGAUCGGCUUCAGUUAGCAGCAGUAGCGAAGGAAUCGCUCGAUCGGGUUCAGUUAACAGCCAUCGAUCGAGCUCGGGUUCAGUAACGCAUAGCCUGCAGCGCAAUCACUCGGGUUCAGUUAGACCCCAACGCCUCGCUCGGGUUCAGUUAGAGCCAACGCCUCGCACACACGCGCGUACGUGUACGAGAGAAACGCGCAUCGCUCGGCCCCCGACCUCCCACCGUAACCGGGAACUCCCCGAAAUUUUCCUUGCCCUCGCUUCUACCACGGUUUUUUGCGUCAUGGACGGCCCAAAGAAUGUCAUGCAGCUGCGUCUCCAGCCCGCCCAGGAUGAAAAGCCCAUUUUCUGUCAUGAUUUUUUGUCAUAGAAGUAGGAGCCCACCACAUCUACGAUGAUAUCGGGUUUUGUCACAAUUAUCGUCAUAGAAGUGUCAUAUGUUUGACAGAAAAAAAAAUCGUUCGGCCCAAAAUGUCACGGAUGUGUUUUUUUUGUAGUGACUACUGCUGUACAAAAGCAUACAUUUUUUAAAAGGCUAGAGGGCGGGGCAGUCUAGCGUGGUCGGUUUCACGAGAGGCGAGGGCCUUUGUGAUUUGACGGCUCAUUACUGCUGGAAGGCGGGGCCUUGUGAUUUGACUGCUCGUAUAAAUGCGCCGACGACCUGAUCGAGGAGGAGCAAAGAACCGUGCGGUAUACUCAAGUUUUCCACUGGAGUAGUACUGCGACGGAGGAGCACGAAACACGGCAGCCCAGUGCCAUAUGGCGAUAAAAAUGAUCUAAUUUGCUAGUCAUCUCAUUGUUAGCAUUGUUCUAUUCAUUCCCUAAAAAAACAUUGUUCUAUUCAUGCCUCGCAGAGAACGUGACACGUGCGGCGAAACACCCGAAGCAAAAGAUGAAACACAGGAGCAAAAGAAGAAGGAAGAUUAUCACCCCAAAUGAUCUAAUUCGCCGCGGAGUCGUAACUGCUUCUUCAUCGCCUCCACGACCUCCAUCUCCUUGCGCGUCUCCUCCGCCAUCUUCUUCAUUCUGUCCAUGACGCGGGAUUUCUCGACGCGAGCCUUCAUCAUCUGUUCCACGACCGCAUUACGUACCUUGACAGCAGCCGGGUGCUCGAUGCGGAGCUUCGCCAACUCCUCCUUCUGUUCCAUGAUGAGGGCCUGCAGCAUCUCGAGGAACUACUAUUCUCAUGCAGCUUCUUCCAGCCGGCGUUCUUCUCCUUCAAUAGGUCGAUCUCGUGGCAGAGCUUCGCCUUGUCCUCCUGAAGUCGCAGGAUUUCGCCGGUCGCCUUCUUCUCUGAGGCAAUGCUCUUCUUCAGCAGCAUCACCAAGCCGGCGAUCAACUCCCCCUGCUGAUUGAGCUCAGCGGGCAUGUCGUCGAGGCUCUCCUUCAGCAACUCCAUCAAUCCUUGGAUGAACUCCUUCUGCUUAUUGAGCUGAUCGGGCAUGCCGUCGAGGGAUAACGACUCCACCUCCGCCGGCUCGGCAUGUUCGCCUCCGCGGCUAGGGCACUCCUGGGAGCCAUCGCCUGCCCGUGAGAGAUCUUUCGAGGUCUCUGCGUGGCGGCGAGCCCUCUCUUUUUUUUCGCAGCCUUGGUUGCCGCUCCCUUGUUACGAGUAGUUCUCGACCUAGAGCUCUGCUCACCGGCCAUGGCAACGACGGACGAAGAAGAAGCACUUAUGAGGAGGAAAGGUAGAGUAGUUUUUGGUUAGGUAGUUCCCCUUUUUAUAACCUAAGUACUAGCACUAGUACUAAUACCUGCAUAGUGGGAACACGUUCAGGUUUGGUACGUACUAGUAGGUGUGAGCAGGCUUUUGAAUGUGAUGGGAACAAGGUAAAGAUCAAUUGAUGGUUUUGGUUUCGAGGCCCGAAACGGCUCCCGAUGAGUGUAGUGGAACAUAAAUUUCAAGUACUACACUGCUCAAAUGCGUAAAUAUUAUGUUACUGUCAAAAAUUGGCACAAAAUACGAAGGAGACCAAUGGAACUACUACUAGCAACCCACGAUCUAACUACUCGCAUGCGUGCAGUGGAGUAAUAAUGUCUUUCUUCCGCCCUCACGUCCACUCAAUUUGCAUGCGCUGUAUUAAUUGACCAUCAACGAAGUGAACGACUUUACACGCGUCAAAUUAUCACAUGGGGUGGAUCCUGGUACAAAAUUGCGUCCGCCCGUGUACCCGCGUGUGCGUGCGAGGGAAUGAGUGCGUGCGUGGCGUGCGUGCACAUCUUCGCUUCAUGCAUGUACCGCCAGUAUGGCUCAGGGAGGACGAGUACAUUCUUCUGGAACCAGCAGCACGUCACUGUGAUCAAUCCACGCAAGUUGGUCGCGACAACGCCUCCACAUGUGCCACGUGGCUUCAUGAACUGUAAGAGAGACACUGUGUAGCGUGCCAUUGGUAUUCUAAUUUACGUGUUUUGCACAAACUCGAAGUACUAGUAAGGUACACGUGCAUUGCACGCAUCAGAUGUUGCAACCAAAUUAUGAAAAUACCACACUAUAGCAUGUAAGCUCUGAGUCAUAUAUGCCUGAUGUAGCCCUUCGUUUAAUUCUUAUAGUUCAUAUCAUUCAAAAUCAAUUAGUUUUUAUAAAAAAGCUAAGAACACGGGAAUAGGAAAAAACAUGGGAUUAUAGUGGAAUGUCGUCUUGAAUCCUACAGGAUUGUACGAGUGUUUGAUUGUGCAUAGAAAAAACGCAGAAUUCUUUCAAAGAGGUUUGAGUGGAUGGGAUGUUUCCUAUGAAAUCUAGUGCAAAUGAAUCAUAUGGAAAAAUUCCUAUGGUUUACAAUCCUACGAAUCAAACAACCAAGAUAGGAAAAAUUCCUAAUGAUUAGAAUCCUCCAAAAUUCCUUUGAGAAUCCUUUGAAUCAAAGAAGCCCUUAAUCUAUUUUAUGAUUCAUGGAAUUGUGCGUUGUAAAGCAUAAAGUAAAAACAAAUAAUGGCAAUUCAACUAGAAAAAAAGUUUGGGCAGUUAUGAUAUGGAAGAUUCUAGAACAAAAGAGAACCACUGUUGUUUUGAGGUUUGUGCAUUAUGCUUAAGUUCAACCAUGGAGUCUGCUAGAUUGUACAUGUGGCAAAAUCCGGUGGGGGCUAGAAGAUGGUGCGAGGGGCCGAGUGGAGGGAGACUAUGAAGGAAUGCACAAGUGCGAGAUCGAUAUUUAGAGAGAGGGGGCGAACACGUGCGCUGUUGCGCGCAGUGGCGGAGCCAUGAAAAAUAAAUGAGCUAGGGGGCCAAGCAUUGCUAAUCCUUUACGAGGAGGGUCAAUUCAUGAACUUAAACCAUUUUUAGCAGCAAUUGUCUAAUGAUCACAUUCAUAUUAGCCUCGAUAUAUAGUGAUGUUAGGGGGGAGGGGGGCAGGGCCCUUACUGCCCCAUGUCUUCGCCAUUGUGCACGCGUCUGAGAGAUGAAGCGGAAGGCAUGGAUGAUGAGAGGGGGACGUUGGAUAUAUAAUUAAUGUGGGUGUAUUAGCUAUAUAUGUUAAUCCUAUAUAGAGAGGUAUAGAUUGAUCGAUGUGGACGUGGGAAAGAGGGUGAGACCUCACUGGAUAUAUCGAUUGAUCGGUUUGUGUGGAAAACUAUGAAAGACCUAGCUAUAUACACACAUACAUAGAGGAACAUCGAUCGUUGCGCAUGCACGCAUGAGAGAUAAAGAAUGCCCGAUAUGAUGGAGAGGGGGAUGUGUGUGGGUGUGUGCCUUCAUGGGAGACCGACCUGAAGAAAAAGAUUGUAUGCGUGCGAUGGAUAAUGCCGACUGGUAGUGUGUGUGCAUGCAUGCACGAGAGAAAGUUAGUGGUACAAUUAUAAAGAGAAGACUACUGUGUGGGUGUAAAAGAAUAGGUGAGGUCAUAAUCAAUGUAAAGUUGAAUUCAAAUAUUUGAAUAAGAGAUCCUGAUGUUUGAAACCCAUGCAUGCAUGAAUAUAAUGGAGAUCUGCGCGGUGUGGUUUGGAAAUGAGCAUGUUGUAAUGUAUACACAUUGAACAAGGUCAGACUGAUUUGAAUUUGAGAUACCGAUGGCAGACAUCAUUUGGCCACAUCGCAUCCGUGCAUGGACACACUAUUCUAAUUGGAGAUGAUGGGCGGCUUUCGCAUCACAUAUCUAUAUCUAUACCCCUAUAUAUACAUAUUAUAUUUUAUAUUUUUUAUAUUGUGUGUGGGUAACUUUAACUUUGAAAGAUGGUCAUUGGAUGAGGCGAAUCCGAUGGUCCAAAGAUGGCAAAUUUGAGCACUACUGGCCGUUGGAUAUCAUCUAGAUUCCACCAGAUUUCGCCACAUGUAUAAUCUAGAAGACUCCAUGGUUGAACUUAAGCAUAAUGCACAAACAUCAAAACACAAGCACUUCUUAUUUGUUCUAGAAUCUUCCGUAUUAGAAUUGCCCAAAUAUUUUUCUACAUGAUUUGCCAUUAUUUGUUUUUACAUUAUGUCUUACGACGCACAAUUCCAUGAAUCUUAAAAUAGAUUAGCUUUCUUAUAAAAACUAGAUGAUUUUGAAUGAAAUGAACUAUAAGAAUUAAAUGAACAUCUACAUCAUGCAUAUAUGACUCAAAGCUUCCAUGCUAUAAUGUGGUAUUUAUUCAUAAUUUGGUUGCCAAAUCUCAUGCGUGCAAUGCACGUGUACCUUACUCUAGUCUAAAUGGUGUUUGUGUGUGUGUGUGUGUUGUGCAUGUUGAGGUGCAAAUUGUCUUUUUUUUGGUACACGUUAAGCUUGUUCUUCCGAAAUUUCAAGCCGCGCCUUGUUAUGCCGAAAAUUCAAGCUAGCGUCUCUGUCUAUCGUGCUGCGAAACUCCCGCCUCUUCAACUCGCGCCUUGUUAGCCCAAAAUAUUUAAGAUAUAUCUUUGUCUCGUUGUGCUCCGACAACUCCCUCCAUCUCAACCCGCGCCUUGCUAUUUCGAAAUUACAACGCGUGCGAAAACUCCCACCUCCUAUGAAAUCCUGACACGCGAAAUGCCUGUGGUACCCCUGAACCGAAAGAACCGCCUCAUAUCGGUGGGGGUACUUUCAUAACUUACCCCACAUUUCGGACAAGCGUGUCUCUAAGCCAUGGUUCCCCACUGCCAUCCCAUCCGCCCACCCAAUCGUACACCGAGGCCGCGAAAACCCGCGACGAAACCCCACACCCUGCUCCGUCCGCCACCCAGCCGGAGCCUCUUCCCCGACGACGUCGUCCACAGCAACACCUCGACGUCCCUCAUCCACCGUACCGGAUGAGGAUCCGUCGUCGAUCCCAUCGUCCCGCCGGUUCAGCCACCCCGUCCUCCACCUCCAAGGAACUGCCCCGACGUUCCCCUCGUCUUUCGCGCCACCUCCAUUCCCACACCGCCGUCUUCACCUGCACCACCGGAAGAGCAUCAUCAUCACCGUUUCCUCGGAUGAAGCUGCGGCCUAAUCGGCGCCACCAAAGAGGUUGUACACUAAUCGCCGCAUUUUCUUCUUGAUUCGAUCUCACGGUGCUGCCGGCGCUCGGUCCCGAGCCGACACGGCGCAGCUCCAUCCACGGCGGCGUCGCCGGCCACUUCCUCCGCGGCGUCGCUCCCUCGGCGGCGACGUCCACAUCAGUAGGAGCUGCUGCUGCUUUAGCUCUUGCUCGCGCUGCUGCUCUGCUCUUGCUCUCGGUCCCCUGCCUGGUCUGCUCUUGCUAUUGCUCUUGCUCGCACUGCUGCUCUCGCUCUUGCUCUUGCUUGCGAUGCUGCUCCGAUUUAGCUACACUUCAGUCGACUGAAUCGAAUUUUGGGUCAGUCGAUUUUCAGNNNNNNNNNNNNNNNNNNNNNNNNNNNNNNNNNNNNNNNNNNNNNNNNNNNNNNNNNNNNNNNNNNNNNNNNNNNNNNNNNNNNNNNNNNNNNNNNNNNNNNNNNNNNNNNNNNNNNNNNNNNNNNNNNNNNNNNNNNNNNNNNNNNNNNNNNNNNNNNNNNNNNNNNNNNNNNNNNNNNNNNNNNNNNNNNNNNNNNNNNNNNNNNNNNNNNNNNNNNNNNNNNNNNNNNNNNNNNNNNNNNNNGCACGGGGGGCGGGCCUAGAGGGAUGGCCGGGGCGGCGGCGGACCGGCGGUGGGGAGUGUUUUCGGGGCGGGCGGGGCGGCGCACCGCCGGCCGCGGGCGGCGGGGGGCUGCUGUUUGGCCGGUGGUGGCUGGCGGCUCGAGGGGUGGAGGUUGAAGAUGAACCGCGGGCCCUUGAUUUCGUAUCCAACGGCUGCAAAAUCGACUGACCAGAGAUGAAAAAGUCAGUCGACCGACGUGUAGCCUCACCUUGCUAGUGCGUUCAGUUUCGACAGCAAAAUUCAGUUUCGACAGUUAAGUUCAGUUUCGACAGUUAAGUUCAGUUUUGACAGUUAAAUUCAGUUUCGACAGUUAAGUUCAGAGAUGAGCGGCUGAUGUAUUUUACAUCUAGCACUUUGUGGUUAUGUAUUUUACGUCAUGUAUUGGAGAUGCUAUUAGAAUUCCACUCAGGUUAACGUUGUUCGUUGUCUCUCUUGUCCUGCUUCAGCCUCGGCGUCGUACAACUCACCGGAGCUGCUCCAACGACGAAACCCUCCAUCACAGCGGAGCAGUACCUCGGGCUCCAUCUCCAGACGCCUAAGAUCUUCUUCCCCUCCUCCGACAGCCAAGUCAGCCGGAGCAUCCUCACCGGCCAACCCAAUCACGCUGAGAUCGACAUGGCUUCGCCAAAGAGGUUGUACACUUGUUGCAUCUCUUUUUUACUCUAAAUGUUAUAUAUAUUGUCCAUUGUGCACUCGUAGUAACGGGAAAUACGAUUAUUUUAUCCUACUAUAUGACAAGCAGUGAGGUACCAGGCAACUUAGCUAUCCGUGAUGGACUCUCUUGAACGCCAUCAUUAUUUAUCUUUGCGCGUUUGAGCUGUGCAUUUGUCGAUGGGCCUGGGAGUUGAGCUAGUAUGGCAGUGGCCAGGGUCCAAAGUAAUAGAAGUAGCACAGAAACAUUUUUUUAGUGUAGGAUUUUCCUUGCUAAAACUAUGAAAGGAAAAGUGCUUGAAAGGAAAAGUGAAAGAAAAACAUCGGAAUUGGAAAGUUUCCUAUGGUACUACUUUUCAUGAAUUUGGUGCAAAGGAAUGGAGCAAAGGAAAACUGUAGGAUUUGUUCCUUUAGUGUCUCCUUGAAAGAAAAACUGUAGGAAUUCUAAUUUCCACUUCUCCUCCUUUUCAUAUUCCUAUUCAUCAAGCACAAGACUAAGAGAUAGUAGCAUAAUAGCAUUAUAACCGUACAUUUUCUUGUGGUUUGACUUAAUCUCACCAUGCUUUUUUGCAUCCUGUGAUCUUCCAAUUGUUGUGAACCAAACACCCAGGUUGGCAGAAAUCCUGUGUUUUUAAAUUCUCUGUUUUGCACGUGCAUUCCUAUCCUAUUCCUAUCUAUUUCCUAUCCCUACAUUGUUAGAAUCCUCAAAUUCAAACAAGCCCUUACUCAAUUACUUCUGUUACAGAUAUGUGUCAAAGAAAACCUUGUGUGGUUUGUCCUGCUCCUGCGGCGCUGUGUUCCACCCCAGCUCAGCUGCUCCAACGACGGAAGGGUUCACCACAGCAGGGAUCCGCUCUCCAGACUGUCUUUCGCCGCCUCAGAUCUUCUUCCCCGCCGCCGGCAGCCACGGCAACUGCAUUACCAUCAUCAACUGAGCAGAUGACCUUGAGGACUACACGGGUCCGCAAGAGAGGUCGCACUCUUCCGUGUCUGGAAACGGCCCAACGGAAUAACAGGCCGUUAAUGGGUAUAAAGUGAUACACUUUUCUUUACGGGCCAGUUUCACCACGGGCCGUUAAUGGGUGUAAAGUGAUACACUGUUCAUUACGGGCCAGUUUCACCACGGGCCGUUAAUAGGCCAAGAGUUACAUAGGGCCUCAUAUGGGCCGAAAGACGUCAUCGGCCAUACAUGGGCCAGAAGUGAAAACGGGCUGGAAUCAUAUUGGAUGGCCCAGAUGACGCUACUGGGCCUAAUUCGAAUAGGACGUAACGGGCCUUGGGUUAGCGGGCUGUAAAUGGGCUAUAUGCGAACAGGCCGUUAACAGGCUUUCCAUGGGCCGGCCCGCCACCUUUUGACCAAGUCAAACGGGCCGGCCUUUUCACAGGAAUGGGCCUCUGUUGGGCCGUGCCACGUGUCGACGUAUCAUAGGCGCCUUCUGUCCAAUGAGUGGAUGACAUCUGUCCCAGCGAUGAGCCGACACGUGUUUCCUCCAGCCAAUGAUGAUUUUACACGUGAAAAAUCCCCAUUGGUCGGGGCUGUUAACGGGUUAUCGGAUCCAAAACCCGACCCGAUAGCUUAACGGCGUUCUGUUAUGGUGGAUGCCACAUGUCGGUCACCCUUGACGAAAGCACUUCUGUGACGCGCGAUUUAUCGUCAUGGAAGUGGACACUUCCAUGAUGAUAAUUUUGGUAAUGUCAUGGAACACUUCUACGACAGCACAGGUAUGACUAUCUUGAUUCUGUCAUAAAUUUGUCAUGGAUGUAUAUGCAUGACAAAAAACGCGACCUACUGUGACAAACACGUAUCAUCACGGAAGUGUAUUUUUUUGUAGUGGUGCCCGGAAGCCGGAAGGGCCUGACAGGCCACGCGCGUGACGGGACCGGGCGACGGGCUGGGGUCCGCCGCCGCGCGCCCUCGGCCCAAGCGCGCGGAAUUAUUGCGGCGUCCGGGGGCGGUUGCUCUUCCCCGGGCAGUUACUGCGCGUGUACGCGCGCACUUAUUGCGGGGUAGUGGAACGGGCGCAUGCAGACGAUCCCACUUCCCCACGUUCAAACCGAGGGUUAUAAAUCGGGGGGCAGGGGGCGGCGGACAUUAUUCUCACUCGCGCCCUCCUGUCCCUUUGCUCUCGCUCCGCUCUUCGCAACAGACGCACUACGGCGCCCUCUGCUCCGAGCAGAACUCCUUCGCCGUCCAUCUUCCUUCUUCUUCCUUCGAUCAUGUCGCUGCCAUCGGGCUCCUGGAUGGGCUCGAACGUCACCUCUGAGGACAUCACCCAACUCCGGGCGACGCGGCGCCUGCCGCGGGAGACGGACGUCGGUGUCCGCCUGCCGCGCGACGAGUAGAGGCCUCGGCCCGAGGGGCAGGAGCGCGUGGUCUUCCUCACGCACUUCGAGCGCGGGUUCGGGCUGCCGGCGAGCACCUUCUUCCGCGCUUUCCUGGAGUUCUUCGGGCUCCAGCCGCAUCAUCCUGGCGCCGGCGCCAUUGUCCAGCUCUCCAGCUUCGUCACCCUCUGCGAGGGGUACCUGGGGGUCGAGCCUACGAUCGACCUCUGGGCGCGCUUCUUCUCCUUGAAGCAGCAGGGCCCGUCGGCCGGGGAGUUCGCCGAUUGCGGCGCCGCCGUCAUCUCGAAGUGGUCGGGGGCGGAUUUCCCCAAGAACCCGCUGGAGGACUCUGCCAAGAAGUGGCAGAACUCCUUCUUCUACGUCCGCAACCUUGGAGCGGAUCGCAUCAAUCUUCCGGCCUUUGCCAUCGCACCGCCGCGGGCGAAGACGAACUGGGGCUACUCGCCCAAGCGCCCGUCGCAGGAGAUCGUUAAUCUCUGCGAGCGGGUGACGGUGAUGAGAACGCAGGAGGGGCUCACCGGCACCGACCUCCUCGCCACGUUCAUCAAGCGCCGGGUCCUUCCGCUUCAGGGGCGCUCCUGCCUCAUCGGCGAAAUGGUCGGCCUUCAAGACCCCAACCGCAUGGGGUCGACGCGGCUGUCCGCGGAGCAGGUCGCGCGUGGCGUGAACGACAUAUCCAAGGCCAACCUUGGGGAGGACUGGCGGUUCAGCAAGGCGCCGUACAGCCAGUCGAACCCGGCGCCGCAGCUGAGUGUCUGGUCUUCUCACUUUGCUGCCGUGCACCUUCUCAUCCGUCCUGACGCGAGACGGGGGGUACUUCUGAACGCGAUUCGGCAUCCUUACGCCCGGGCUCCGUCGCAGGUGGAGCCGGUGGCGCCAGAGGAGCCCGUGGCUCGUGGCGGGGAGGAGGAGGCCGAGUCCGACGCCGGCGCUGGGUGUCGCGCGGGUAAGUCUCGCAUUUUCCUUCAUGUGUCUUGAAUUGCUGACCGCGGCACGGAACGGCCGGUGCUGACGCCAGUUGUUGGUGUAGUGGCAUUGGGUGGGGGAGGCGGCGAUGCGGGCAGAGCCGGGUCCUCGCAUGGGGCGGUGCCGAGCCGCCCGCAUGGGAAAGACAGCGUCGCGCCGCGACCCCGGGCCCCGAAGCGCACGGCGGACCCGGCCGGGGCCGGGAGGCCGGCCAAGAGGAAGUGCGGCGGCGGGCACGGGAGGCCAACCCCGGUCCCGGUCUUGGCAGCGUAAGCUUCAUCUCUUGUUUGCGCUCAGGUUUUUUUUUCUUGAGCUAGUCUUGUUUCUUUUCUGCUCAUUCCGUCUUCUUCUCUAGAUCGCCAAUCGCGCUGGCGAGGGAGGCGGCGGAAGCCGCGACCGCCGACGGGGCCGCGUUCCGCAGGAGCCGGUCCGACCUUGCCGACCAGGCCGAGGCGGAGGGACGGGCCGACUCGGACCUCGGCCAGGAUCCGAAUGACGCCGAAGCCUUUGCCUGGCGGGACAGGAACCGGGCCAAGGCAGAGCUGGAGGCCGCGUCGGUCCGGGCUUGGCGACGGCAUGGGCGCGACCCGGCGCGGAGCCGGUCUGGCGCGAGAUGCCGGAGGGCACUGUGGUGGCGGCGACGGUCUUUGAGCCGUCGUCGGUGAGGGAGCGCGGCUGUGGAGGCCGAGCUGAGGUGGUGAUCCCCGACCGGGGGGUCGUGGACGUGGAGGAUGACACCCCGCCGCGGGCCGACGUGGCCGAGCAAGCGGGGACUAAUGGUGGUGGAGGCGGAGUCGUUUUGGAAGAGACGCUGCGGGCGGCGGCGGCGGAGGCGCCGCCGGUUUUGGAGGAGGCACCGCGGGCGGCGGUGCCGGAGGUCACCCCGGCAGCUGGGCCGGAGAUGGCGACGCAGGGCGUCUCGGCGUCCGGGUCAGGGUCGGCAACGCAGGCCGUCCCGGAGGAGGUGCUGGCCUCGUCGCGAGCGGCCAGGGAGGAGCACGCCUUGGUGCCCCGGCAGGGAGAGCGCCGAGCUGCCGUGCCGCAGCCGGCGCGGAGCGGGGGCGCCGUUGUCUUCGAGCCUCAGACCCAGGAGGAGGCGGCACUGGACGGUGUCAGUCGCUGCCUGCGAGGCCGGACGAAACGGCUCGAGGCCUUCGCCUAGGCCGAGGUGGAGCGGACGCGCGACCUGGAGCGCGCCGUCCUGGUAAGUCUUCUUGCAAUUUUCUUCUUUGUGGGGGCGCGCCAGCGCACCCACUAGGUGUAGCCCCCGAGGUUCGGGCCAACUACGUAGUAGUUGGAUCAAAUCUUUAGAGUGUUGGCCUUGUUCUGAUUUCUGCUUUCUUCAGCAUCUCGACGCCAUCCGGGUCACCGCCUACAAUCGCCUCCUGGGCAAGCACCGGUAGCUCAUGGAGCGGCUUGCCGCCAAGGAGGAGGAGCUCCGCGUCGCCGCAGGUAUCCUUGUGCUCUUUUCUAGUGGGGGCGCGCUAGCGCACCCACUGGGUGUAGCCCCCAAGAUUCGGGCCAACUGUGUAACAGUUGGGCCAAAUCUUAAGUCUUGCUUUUUUCUUCUGUUGAGUCCCUUUUUUCCGCAGCCGAGGUGCUGUCCUGUCAGACUCGUCUGCUCCGGGCCGGUCAUCACUACGAUUGGCCCGUUGCCGACACCGGCCGUCUUGGCGUCGAGGCGGCGCAGGCGAGGGCGGAGGCGGCCGCGGCUCGGCGGUCUCUCGACGAGGCCAACCGGCUGCAUGAGCAGCUGGCGGGCCACAAGAGCCGCCUCGAGGCCAAGGUGGAGCUCCUUAAGGCGGAAGCCGCCAAGGUGGCAGAGGCGCAGCAGGCCCUGGUGGAGGCGGACCAGCAGCGCGGCCAGCAGGCCGACGACAAGGGCCGGCUCCAGGCCGAGGUGGAUCGCCUGCGGGGGCAGGUCACCACGGCUGAGGGGGCCCGUCAGGACGAGGCCCGUCGCCGCGAGGCGGCUGAGAAGGCGGCCGAAGACAAGGACGCCGAGCUGAAGGCGGCCCUUGCCAAGGCGGCCGAUCUGGAGAAGGCGCUCGAGGAGCGCGACCGCGCCAUCGAGCGAGAGUGGCGCGGUACGUUGCUUGAGGCGCAGCACCUGGAAGAGUCCUUCUCCAGUAAGUGCUUUUUUCUUGUCGUUUGCCGGGUCGGGAUUCUGCCUAUCUUCCUUGUUCUUCUUCUUCUAACUCGCUUCUUCCUUUGCGGCAGGGGCCUUCCCAGAGAUGCAGCGGCUGGCGGAGGAAGCCGUCUGCUAUCAGCGUGACCCGACCGGCGUCGUUGGGUCCGGGACGGAUCUGCGGGUGGCCUGGACCUUCCCAGAGAUCAUCGCCGCCGUUGAGGCCGGUCUGCAGGUUCUGGGAACGCAGUUGGGGCGGCUGUCCCAGGCCGACACCGCGAUGACGGCGGCCCUAUGGCCGGACUCCGUCCAACCGAGCAGCUUCUCGCGCCUGGCGCGUUGGUAGGAGAUGGGGCCGGACCGGCUUGGCGAGUGGCGCGUCUCCGCCGCUCGUGCCGGUGCUGAGAUGGCGCUCCGCUCGCGCUGUCCUGGCAUCCGGACCUGCAGCUGGACGCGUUGAUGGGCCAGCGGGCCGGUUCGGAGCAUCUCUUGCAGGAGCAAGCCUGCCGGAUCGCCUCCCGGGCCAGCUACAUCGCCGAGUUCGCCUUCCACGACGAGUUCCAUCCAGAGCGGAUGGAAGACGGCGGGGUCGUGGACGGCGACGACUACAACUUGCUCCUCCAUGAUCCGGAGGGGAGCUCGGAGGAGACGGGCGUCUACCGCGACGCGGAUGCUGAGGAGGGCACCGGCACCUCGCUGGACCCGGAGGUCGCGAGGGGAGAGCCGUCGAUGUCGCGAUGCGGCACUGGAGAUGCCUGAGACACUUUGUGUAAAAUUUGUUAAAUAGCAGGUCCACCCACCCACUAGGGGUUUUAGGGUGUAAUCAACUCGGGCCGUGGGCCUUUUCUUAAAUACUUGCAGAUGUUGUGGGUGCUUUUGCUUUUUUGCCUUCCGUUUUUUGGACUGAUUUCAUGCGCUUUUUCUUUCUCAAACUUCCNNNNNNNNNNNNNNNNNNNNNNNNNNNNNNNNNNNNNNNNNNNNNNNNNNNNNNNNNNNNNNNNNNNNNNNNNNNNNNNNNNNNNNNNNNNNNNNNNNNNNNNNNNNNNNNNNNNNNNNNNNNNNNNNNNNNNNNNNNNNNNNNNNNNNNNNNNNNNNNNNNNNNNNNNNNNNNNNNNNNNNNNNNNNNNNNNNNNNNNNNNNNNNNNNNNNNNNNNNNNNNNNNNNNNNNNNNNNNNNNNNNNNNNNNNNNNNNNNNNNNNNNNNNNNNNNNNNNNNNNNNNNNNNNNNNNNNNNNNNNNNNNNNGGUUCUUUGAGAGGAGCGCGCAGGACUUGGGUCCCUCGAAACGUUGAGCGCGAGCGAAACACCCACUGGGCCGGCUGCCGGCAAUCCGGCGAAGCCGGUUGGCGAGCAGCCGGUCGUGCGGCUGUUCAUUUGAUGAAUGGCAGACCGGGUUGAUCGACCCAGCGACCUUUGGCUUAGUGUAUGAAGCGUAAAGGAGCUUUGGCCCGUUGUGCUUGCCAGCCGACAGCCAAAGCUGGAUCUGUGGCUUUAGGGCGAAGUGGGGGACCGCGGCAUCCUAACUUUAUCAGGAACCACCAAGUAAGGCGGCGGGGUAGCGACCGAGCCGGCCAGCCCCCGAGCCCCCGGGUCGAGCGAGUCGGACCGGUGGCCAGGUUCAGUGGUAUAGUGAUGCAAGAAAAUAGGGACACAAUAAAUUGGUCGACAAAAUGCAGCCCCCGAGUCUCGUUCAGGGACCCCAUAGUUUCAUUCAUUUACAAAAGGUGAUGAUACAUACGCUUGUGCGGCUAACUGUAAAACGGGCGGAGGAGUUCCGCAUUCCACGGCCGGGUCGUUUCUUCACCGGCGGUGUCCUUCUUGUGCUUCCUCGACUUGCGUGCGUUGAUGAGGUAGUAGGCGUUGCGGUCGCGCAAGGCCCUGCUCACGAUGAAUGGGCCCUCCCAUGGAGGGGACAGCUUGUGCUGGCCUGCCUGCUCUUGGACGAGUCGGAGGACGAGGUCGCCCUCGCGGAACACGAGGGGCUUGAUCUUCUUGCUGUGGUAGUCCCUCAUGCCUUGCUGGUAGAUGGUCGAGCAACUGAGCGCCAGGAGGCGUGCUUCUUUGAGCAGGUCGACGCCAUCUUCGCGAGCUUCUCUAGCUUUGGCUUCGGUGUUCAUCGCGACGCGCGGCGAGUCAAACUCGACGUCGGUCGGGAUGACGGCUUCGGCUCCAUAGACGAGGAAGAAUGGGGUGAACCCGGUCGACCGAUUCGCCGUGGUGCGUAGAUUCCAGAGAACGGCUGGCAACUCGUCAAGCCAGCUGUCGGGUGAGCGGAUGAGCGGCGGGCGGAGCCGGACCCCGCCGGCUUGGCGAGCUGGUUGAGGCAGUCCUGCUGGGUGUUGGCGGCGUGGAGGAGUUCGCGCAUCCGCCCGAUGCGCUCUUUCAGCUCCUCACCCGCGAGCUGGUCCAGGCCGACUGCGGCUGCCUGGGCAGCGUGCAUGUUCUUCGCUGGGGUCUCGUAGACGGUUGGGACGGCGCCGAGGGCCCGACCGAUCGCUCCUUCCCGGGCACACAAAUCGGCGACCCGGCUUGGCUCGGCCACGGCGGGCGUGAAUCCGUAGGCGGCGUCGCGCUCCAGCUGAGCGGCGUCCAGGCGACGCUGAGUGGCGGCGAGCGUCUCAGAUAGGUCCAGCAUCUGCUGGCACCUUUCCUCGAGCUGGGUUCGGGCCUCAGCGAUGUUGGUGGCGUCGACGUCGGUGCCGAUGGGGAUGCGGAGGCUCUGCAUCGCGGCGCGCAACGGAUCGACGACUCGAUCCGAUCCGCUGCGGCCCUGGCUUUCGCAGCCUUCCUCGUCUUGCUCGACGAGGAGGAGGCGCCGUCGCCGGUGACGAAGACCUCCACAUGGAUGUCCAUUGCCCGGCGGAAACGCCGCCGCCGAGGGAGAGGGGAGAGUCGGAGUAGCUGAGCACCUCGCUGGGGUACUCGUCGGCCGCGAACGCAUCGGAGAUGCGCAGUGCGACGAAGGAGGUGACAAGCGUGCCGACGACGUCGUCCGCCAGAGCGACGGACUCGUCGGCGUAGGAGAAGGGCCCCGUCCGAAGCAUGCUCCCGGACAACUCCUCGAGCUGCCCCACGGUGGGCGCCAACUGUUGUGGUGGGCGCACGGCAUAUGCCAAGGGAUGGCUAAGAGAGGAGGAGGCUCGAGGGCGCUGGUGGGCUCCAGAGGCGAGGUUGGCAUGAGCGGGCGCGGGACGCCGGACAUACCCAGGUUCGGGGCUCUCCGGAGAGAUAAUACCCCUAGUCCUGCCGAGUGUAGUUGGAUGAUCGAUAGUACAAUGUUGCUCCUGGAGCUGUAUGAAGGAGGAAGGAAGCUGGCCAAGGCUUGGGCUGCUUCUUCUCUCUGGUGUUGCUGUUUCGUGGCUAGUCCUCCUGCUUCGCCCCCCGAAUGAUCGUGGGCUCCCGGGGGUUUUAUAGUCCAACCCCUCGGGGGUACAAUGGUAAUGUUAUAAGUCGGUGGGUCCGUGUAGUCGGUGUCCGGGGACCCGGGCUGGGCCCCGCUGAGGGCUUGUGGUUCGUCGGGUUCCCCUAGGUGCGGGCCCCGCCAGCCUAGGGGGACUGUGCGCCGUCUUGUCGAUCGUCAGGGCGUGGCCGAGUCGAGCCGCGUACAGUGCUCUCCGUCAGGUUGCCGCUUGUUGUCGUCAGCGGUGAGGGUGGGCGCACUGUUGCCAUGCCGGCCCUGGUCAGCGGGUAGGUGAGGGGCACUGUUGCCACGUUCCUGUUGACCAGAGGCAUGGGCGGGGCACUGUUGCCUCGGUCAUCGUUGAUUGAAGUCUUGUCCCCGUCAUACGGCCUGGAUGGGAUGAGAGUUGACCCGCGGCUGGAUUGCGUAGCACGCCAUGGGUGGCGCUGGCUUGGUGAGGAGGCCUUGGCCGUGCCGGGUUUGGCUGUCUUGCGCCAGUUGUUGAGGCCGAGUCGACGUGUCUUGCCGGGUCAGCUAGUCUGGCCGGCUUGGGGGCUUGGCCGGGUCGAGCGACCCGGCCAAGCGCGCGCCGGUAUUGAGGGGCGGUGCCAUUCCCGUUGUUUUUGAAGAGGAUCCGGGUUCCGUUGCCUGCCCGGGGUCCAUCCCCCCGACAAUAGGGGAUCACAACAGUUUUCAAGGGUAGAGUAUUCAACCCAAAUUUAUUGAUUCGACACAAGGGGAGCCAAAGAAUAUUCUCAAGUAUUAGUAGUUGAGUUGUCAAUUCAACCACACCUGGAAAACUUAAUAUCUGCAGGAAAGUAUUUAGUAGCAAAGUAGUAUGGAAGUAACGGUAACAGUGGCUAAAGUAACAGUAGCAGUUUUGUUGUAAUCGUAAUAGUGGCAGCGAAAAAGUAACUAAGCAAAGAUUAAUAUGUGAAAAGCUCGUAGGCAUUGGAUCAGUGAUGGAUAAUUAUGUCGGAUGCGAUUCCUCAUGCAACAGUUAUAACAUAGGGUGACACAGAACUAGCUCCAGUUCAUCAAUGUAAUGUAGGCAUGUAUUCCGAAUAUAGUCAUACGUGCUUAUGGAAAAGAACUUGCAUGAAAUCUUUUGUCCUACCCUCCCGUGGCAGCGAGGUCCUAUUGGAAACUAAGGGAUAUUAAGGCCUCCUUUUAAUAGAGUAGCGGACCAAAGCAUUAACACAUAGUGAAUACAUGAACUCCUCAAACUACGGUCAUCGCCGGGAGUGGUCUCGAUUAUUGUCACUUCGGGGUUGCCGGAUCAUAACACAUAGUAGGUGACUAUUGACUUGCAGAAUAGGAUCAAGAACUCACAUAUAUUCAUGAAAACAUAAUAGGUUCAGAUCUGAAAUCGUGGCACUCGGGCCCUAGUGACAAGCAUUAAGCAUAGCAAAGUCAUAGCAACAUCAAUCUCAGAACAUGAUGGAUACUAGUGAUCAAACCCUAACAAAACUAACUCGAUUACAUGAUAAAUCUCAUCCAACCCAUCACCGUCCAGCAAGCCUACGAUGGAAUUACUCACGCACGGUGGUGAGAAUCAUGAAAUUGGUGAUGGAGGAAGGUUGAUGAUGACGACGGCAACGGAUUCCCCUCUCCGGAGCCCCGAACGGACUCCAGAUCAGCCCUCCUGAGAGAGAUUAGGGCUUGGCGGCGGCUCCGUAUCGUAAAACGCGAUGAAUCCUUCUCUCUGAUUUUUUUUCUCCCCGAACGUGAAUAUAUAGAGUUGGAGUUGAGGUCAGUGGAGCCUCAGGGGGCCCACGGGACAGGGGGCGCGCCCCCACCCUCGUGGACAGGGUGUGGGCCCCCGUUCUUUAUUCUUUUGCAAGUAUUUUUUAUAAAUUCCAAAAAUAUUCUCCGUGAAGUUUCAGGUCAUUCCGAGAACUUUUAUUUCUGCACAAAAAUAACAGCAUGGCAAUUCUGCUGAAAACAGCAUCAGUCCGGGUUAGUUCCAUUCCAAUCAUGCAAGUUAGAGUCCAAACAAGGGCAAACGUAUUUGGAAAAGUAGAUACGAUGGAGACGUAUCAAGCCUCUUUCGAUAAGUAAGAGUGUCGAACCCAAUGAGGAGCUAAAGGUAGAACAAAUAUUCCCUCAAGUUCUAUCGACCACCGAUACAACUCUACGCAGGCUUAACGUUCGCUUUACCUAGAACAACUAUGAAACUAUAAGUACUUUGUAGGUGUUUUUGGAUAGGUUUGCAAGAUAAUAAAGAGCACGUAAAUAAAAAGUAGGGGCUUUUUUAAGUAAAGAAGCAAUAAAGUUAGUAUAGCGAGUGUGGAAAAGUGGUGGUAGGAGUUGCGAAAUUGUCCCUAAGCAAUUGACUACUUUACUAGAUCGAUAGCAAGUUUUACGUGGGAGAGGCCACUGCUAGCAUGUCAUCCCUGACUUGGAAUUCUAUGCACUUAUGAUUGGAACUAUUAGCAAGCAUCCGCAACUACUAACGUUCAUUAAGGUAAAACCCAACCAUAGCAUUAAGAUAUAUUGGUCCCCCUUCAAUCCCGUAUGCAUCAAUUUCUAUGCUAGGUUGAAGCUUCUGUCACUCUUGCCCUCCAAUACAUAGUCUUAUCAACAUACAACUAACCCUAUGGUGUGAUCCACGUGCGCGCUCAUAUGAUGGGCACCAAAGGACAACAACAUAACCACAAGCAAAUUAAACCAAUCAUAGCAAUUCACCAAUUACCUAUAGCACAACGAAAAUCUACUCAGACAUCAUAGGAUGGCAACACAUCAUUGGAUACUAAUAUGAAGCAUAAAGCACGAUGUUCAAGUAGAGGGUACAGCGGGUUGCGGGAGAGUGGACCGUUGUAGAUAGAUGGGGGAACGUGAUGAAGAUGUUGGUGAAGAUGACGGAGGUGUUGGUGUAGAUCGCCGUCACACGAUGAUGGCCCCGGCGGCGUUCCGGCGCCACCGGGAAAGAGGGGGAGAGGGCCCCCCUUCUUCUUCUUCUUCCUUGACCUUCCCCCUAGAUGGGAGAAGGGUUUCCCCUCUGGUCCUUGGCUUCCAUGGCGGCGGAGGGGCGAGAGCUCUCGCCCCUCCGAGAUUGGAUCUGUCUCACCGUUUCCUAUAUUCCCAGAGAUCCGUAACUCUGAUUGGGCUGAAAUUUGGAAACAAUUUUUAUCCGGAUAUUGGCUUUCUUGUGGCGAAAGAAGGGCACCAACCACCUUACGGGGUGGCCACGAGGGUCAGGGGUGCUCCCACCCCCCUAGGGCGCUCCCCCUGCCUCGUAGCCCCCUCGGGCAUCGUCUCGCGUUGAUUCUUCUUCCCAAAAAUCACAUAUAUUCCAAAAAAAAUCUCCAUCAGUUUUUAUCCUGUUUGGACUCCGUGUGAUAUGGAUUUUCCGCGAAACAAAAAACAUGCAACAAACAGGAACUGGCACUGGGCACUGGAUCAAUAUGUUAGUCCCAAAAUAGUAUAAAAAGUUUCCAAAAGUAUGUAAAAGUUGUAGAAUAUUGGCAUGGAACAAUCAAAAAUUAUAGAUGCGACGGAGAUGUGUCAGCAUCCCAAGCUUAAUUUCUACUCGUCCUCGAGUAGGUAAAUGAUAAAAAAGAUAAUUUUUGAUGUGGAAUGCUACCUAGCAUAAUCUUGAUCGCAUAAUCUAAUCAUGGCAUGAAUAUUAAGACACGAGUAAUUCAAAGCAAUAGUCUAUCAUUUGACAUUAAGACAAUAAUACUUCAAGCAUACCAACCAAGCAAUUAUGUCUUCUCAAAAUAACAUAGCCAAAGAAAGCUCAUCCCUGCAAAAUCAUGUAGUUUGGCUAUGCUUCAUCUUCGUCACACAAAAUGCUCCCAUCAUGCACAACCCCGAUGACAAGCCAAGCAAUUGUUUCAUACUUUAGUAUUUUCAAACAUUUUCAACCUUCACGCAAUAUAUGAGCGCGAGCCAUGGACAUAGCACUACAGGUGGAAUAGAAUAUGAUGGUGGAGGUGGUGUGGAGAAGACAAAAAGGGAGAAAGUCUCACAUCGACGCGGCUAAUCAACGGGCUAUGGAGAUGCCCAUCAAUUGAUGUCAAUGCGAGGAGUAGGGAUUGCCAUGCAAUGGAUGCACUAGAGCUAUAAGUGUAUGAAAGCUCAAACAGAAACUAAGUGGGUGUGCAUCCAACUUUCUUGCUCAUGAAGACCUAGGGCAUUUGACGAAGCCCAUCGUUGGAAUAUACAAGCCAAGUUCUAUAAUGAAAAUUCCCACUAGUAUAUGAAAGUGAUAACUCAAGAGACUCUCUAUAUGAAGAACAUGGUGCUACUCCGAAGCACAAGUGUGGUAAAAGGAUAGUAACAUUGCCCCUUCUCUCUUUUUCUCUCAUUUUUUGUUUUGUUUUGUUUUUUGUGGGCUUCUUUGGCCUCUUUUUUUAUUUGGGCUUAUUUGGCCUCUUUUAUUUUUUUGUAAAGUCCGGAGUCUCAUCCCGACUUGUGGGGGAAUCAUAGUCUCCAUCAUCCUUUCCUCACUGGGGCAAUGCUCUAAUAAUGAUGAUCAUCACACUUUUAUUUACUUACAACUCAAUAUUACAACUCGACACUAGAACAAAGAUAUGACUCUGUAUGAAUGCCUCCGGCGGCGUACCGGGAUGUGCAAUGAUCUAGCGUGGCAAAGAUAUCAAAAAAACGGACAAGCCAUGAAAAUAUCAUGCUAGCUAUCUUACGGUCAUGCAAAGCAAUAUGAAAAUGAAUGCUCAAGUCAUGUAUAUGAAGAUGAUGGAAGUUGCAUGGCAAUAUAUCUCGGAAUGGCUAUGGAAAUGCCAUGAUAGGUAGGUAUGGUGGCUGUUUUGAGGAAGAUAUAAGGAGGCUUAUGUGUGAUAGAGCGUAUCAUAUCACGGGGUUUGGAUGCACCGGCGAAGUUUGCACCGACUCUCAAGGUGAGAAAGGGCAAUGCACGGUACCGAAGAGGCUAGCAAUGAUGGAAGGGUGAGAGUGCGUAUAAUCCAUGAACUCAACAUUAGUCAUAAAGAACUCACAUACUUAUUGCAAAAAUCUACAAGUCAUCAAAACCAAGCACUACGCGCAUUCUCCUAGGGGGAUAGAUUGGUAGGAAAAUACCAUCGAUGUCCCCGACCGCCACUCAUAAGGAAGGCAAUCAAAGAAACACCUCAUGCUUCAAAUUUUUCACACAACGGUUACCAUACGUGCAUGCUACGGGACUUGCAAACCUCAACACAAGUAUUUCUCAAUUUCACAAUUACUCAACUAGCAUGACUCUAAUAUCACCACCUUUAUAUCGCAAAACUAUUGCAAGGAAUCAAACAUAUCAUAUUCAGUGAUCUACAAGUUUUAUGUAGGAUUUUAUGACUAACCAUGUGAAUGACCAAUUCCUGUCAACUCUCUAAAUAGAUAUAAGUGAAGCAAGAGAGUUUAAUUAUUUCUACAAAAGAUAUGCCCACGCUCUAACAAAUAUAAGUGAAGCAAAAGAGCAUUCUACAAAUGGCGGUUUUCUAUGUGAAGAGAAACAGGCAAUCCAAACUUCAAAUGAUAUAAGUGAAGCACAUGAAGCAUUCUAUAAAGCCACACUGAAAAGAUAUAAGUGAAGUGCACAGAGCAUUCUAUAAAUCAACCAUGGACUAUCUCAUACCAGCAUGGUGCAUCAAAGAAAAGUGAAAACUAAAUGCAAAAUACGCUCCAAGAUUUGCACAUAUCACAUGAACGAAACGAAUCCGAAAACAUACCGAUACUUGUUGAAGAAAGACGGGAUGCCUUCCGGGGCAUCCCCAAGCUUAGACGCUUGAGUCUCCUUAAGUAUUUACUUGGGGUGCCUUGGGCAUCCCCAAGCUUGAGCUCUUGCCUCUCCUCCUUCUCCUCACAUCGAGACAUCCUCGAUCUUCGAACACUUCAUCCACACAAAAUUGAACAAAAAGCUCGGUAAGAUCCAUUAGUAUAAUAAAGCAAAUCACUACUCUAAGUACUGUUGAAAACCAAUUCAUAUUUUGUUUUACAUUGUAGCUACUGUAAUAUAACUUUUCCAUGGCUUAAUCCACUGAUAGAAAUCAAUAGUUUCAUCAAAACAAGCAAACUAUGCAUCAAAAACAGAAUAUGUCUUAAACAGGACAGUCUGUAGUAAUCUGAACAUUCACCAUACUUCUGGUACUCCAAAAAUUCUUACACAACUAGGAAAAAUAAACAAUUUGUAUAGAAAGACAGUGCAAAAAGUUUUAGAACCGUUUGACAUUCCAGUAAAAAAUGUAAAAUCGCGCACUACAGCCAAAGUUUUUGUUUUGCACCGCAAAAACCAAUAAGCAAUGUAAACAUCCUAAAGGCAAAUCUUGGCACAUUAUUUUUUUUUAAACUUUAUAAAAGAACACAACAGAAAUAAAUGACUCUCUAAAACUUCCGGGUUGUCUCCCUGGCAGCGCUUUCUUUAAAGCCAUUAAGCUAGGCAUAUAGUGCUCAAAUAAUGGAUCCACCCGGAUCCCAAGGUAUAUCAAAGCCAAUUUUAAUUAACAAUGAUUUGUGAUUUAGUAGUGAGCACAAAGUAACAUAUAUCAUGCAACAACGAAGUCUAACUCUCUUCCUAUGAAUCGGCAUGUCAUAAAAGAACAAUUCAUGCACACAUAGUAAAGGCCAAUGCAUAGUAUAAACAGUUUCUUGCAAUUUUAUCAUAUUGGAAACAUGGAGAGGCGGAGAUGUAGUUCCUCUCUCAUAAUAAUUGCAAGUAGGAGCAGCAAGCACAUGCAUAUUAUAUCUAUCAAAAUCAUCAUGUGUAGUAGUAAAACGCAACCCAUCAAUAUAAUCCUUAAUAAGGGCAAACUUCUCCGAUAUAGUGUAGUCGGGAGAAUUCAAAAAGAUAAUAGGACUAUCAUGCGUGGGUGCAAGGGCAACAAUUUCAUGUUUAACAUAAGGAACUAUAGAAAGUUCAUCUCCAUAAGCAUAAUUCAUAUUGGCAUCUUGGCCACAAGCAUAGCAAGCAUCAUCAAAAAGCGAUAUUUCAAAAGAAUCAACGGGAUCAUAACAAUCAUCAUAGCAAUAAUCCUUCGGUAAAUUCGAAGGGAAAUUAAAUAAUGUAUGAGUUGGAGAGUUACUCUCAUUAGAAGGUGGGCACGGGUAGCUAAUCCGCUCUUCCUCCUUUUGUUCUUCGCUCUCCUCAUCAUCUUUUUCAUCCAAUGAGCCCACAGUUUCAUCAAUUCCUUCUUCCAUAGACUCCUGCAAAAUAUUAGUCUCUUCUUGGACAACGGAUGAGUCCUCAAUAUAUGGUUUAACAUAGGCAUUAGAAGCAUAAUUAUCAUAAUAAUAUUUGAGUAUGGCAAAAUUUGAGAUUUGUAAAGAGUAGCAUCAUACGUUUCAAUCAAAGAAGCAAUUUCAUAAGCACCCUUUAAAGCAACAAAUUCUUCAAUUUGUUGAACAUCAUAGUAAUUAUAAACACCCUUAGCAUACGAAGAUACGAUUCCAUUAUCACUAAAGUCACAUUGGUAGGGAAGGUGUUUCUUAGGGUCUUCAAAACAACAAGUAAAAUCAUAUAUUUCACAUAAAUUCCAAGCAUAGCAUUGCAAACGAUGAAUUUGAUCCAGUAAAAGUUUCACUUUUUCAGAUAUGUGGUGUCGCACAUAACAAGCAUGCUCAUCUAAAGAUUUGCCCUCAACUAAGCUAGUUGGGGUUUCAGCCCGAGCACAUAGGGAUCGAAGAUGAUCCAAGUAAAAAGCUUCAGGAGUGUGAUAGAUUUUGAGUGGUUCUUCAACCAUUGGUUCAGUAGGUACCACUAAUUUUUUUGGUAUUUUGUGUUUCCUACCCAUAACUAAAGAUAGGAAACAACUUAGAACAGAAAAUAAAAAUUACUUAGUGAUAAAGCAAACAAGCACACAUGAGAAUAUUCACCCCACGCUAUAACUACCCGGCAACGGCGCCAGAAAAAGGUCUUGAUAACCCACAAAUAUAGGGGAUCAAUUGUAGCCUCUUUCGAUAAGUAAGAGUGUCGAAACCAAUGAGGAGCUAAAGGUAGAACAAAUAUUCCCUCAAGUUCUAUCGACCACCGAUACAACUAUACGCACGCUUAACGUUCGCUUUACCUAGAACAAGUAUGAAACUAGAAGUACUUUGUAGGUGUUUUUGGAUAGGUUUGCAAGAUAAUAAAGAGCGCGUAAAUAAAAAGUAGGGGCUGUUUUAAGUAAAGAAGCAAUAAAGUUACUAUAGCAAGUGUGGAAAAGUGGUGGUAGGAGUUGCGAAAUUGUCCCUAAGCAAUUGACUACUUUACUAGACCGAUAGCAAGUUUUAUGUGGGAGAGGCCACUGUUAGCAUGUCAUCCCUGACUUGGAAUUCUAUGCACUUAUGAUUGGAACUAUUAGCAAACAUCCACAACUACUAACAUUCAUUAAGGUAAAACCCAACCAUAGCAUUAAGAUAUAUUGGUCCCCCUUCAAUCCCGUAUGCAUCAAUUUAUAUGCUAGGUUGAAGCUUCUGUCACUCUUGCCCUCCAAUACAUAGUCUUAUCAACAUACAACUAACCCUAUGGUGUGAUCCACGCGCGCGCUCAUAUGAUGGGCACCAAAGGACAACAACGUAACCACAAGCAAAUUAAACCAAUCAUAGCAAUUCACCAAUUACCGAUAGGACAACGAAAAUCUACUCAGACAUCAUAGGAUGGCAACACAUCAUUGGAUAAUAAUAUGAAGCAUAAAGCACCAUGUUCAAGUAGAGGGUACAGAGGGUUGCGGGAGAGUGGACCUCUGUAGAUAGAUGGGAGAAGGUGAUGAAGAUGUUGGUGAAGAUGACGGAGGUGUUGGUGUAGAUCGUCGUCACACGAUGAUGGCCCCGGCGGCGUUCGGCGCCACCGGGAGAGAGGGCGAGAGGGCCCCCCUUCUUCUUCUUCUUCUUCCUUGACCUUCCCCCUAGAUGGGAGAAGGGUUUCCCCUCUGGUCCUUGGCUUCCAUGGCGGCGGAGGGGCAAGAGCCCCUUCGAGAUUGGAUCUGUCUCUCUGUCUCUCUCUGUUUCUGCGCUCUAGAUUCUGGCCUUUCACCGUUUCUUAUAUUCCCAGAGAUCCGUAACUCCGAUUGGGCUGAAAUUUGGACACGAUUUUUAUCUGGAUAUUGGCUUUCUUGUGGGGAAAGAAGGGCACCAACCGCCUUACGGGGUGGCCACGAGGGUCAGGGGUGCCCCCCUGCCUCGUGGCCCCCUCGGGCAUCGUCUCGCGUUGAUUCUUCUUCCCAAAAAUCACAUAUAUUCCAAAAAAAUCUCCGUCAGUUUUUAUCCUGUUUGGACUCUAUUUGAUAUAGAUUUUCUGUGAAACAAAAAACAUGCAACAAACAGGAACUGGCACUGGGCACUGGAUCAAUAUGUUAUUCCCAAAAAUAGUAUAAAAAGUUGCCAAAAGUAUGUAAAAGUUGUAGAAUAUUGGCAUGGAACAAUAAAAAAUUAUAGAUACGACGGAGACGUAUCAGGCUCCAAAAGCGUUUUGAACACCAUGGAACAUAUGAGAUGUUCCAAGAGCUGAAAUUGGUAUUUCAGGCUCAUGCCCGUGUUGAGAGGUUUGAGACCUAUGACAAGAUCUUUGCCUACAAUAUGGAGGAGAAUAAAUCAACCAGUGAACAUGUGCUCAGAAUGUCUGGGUACUUCAAUCAUUUGAAUCAAGUGGGAGUUAAUCUUCCAGAUAAGAGAGUGAUUGACAAAAGUUCUCCAGUCACUAUCACCAAGCUGCUAGAGUUUCACGAUGAACUAUAACAUGAAAGGGAAGAUGAUCCCUGAGCUGUUCGUCGUGCUUAAGGUCGUAAAGGUAGAAAUCAAGAAGGAGCAUCAAGUGUUGAUGGUUAACAAGACCACUGGUUUCAAAGAAGGGCAAGGGCCAGAAGGGAAACUUCAUGAAUGGCAAGCCAGUUGCCGCUCCAGUGAAGAAACCCAAGAACCCCAACCCGAGACGAAGUGCUUCUAUUAGGGGAAUGGUCACUGGUAGCGGAACUGCCUCAAAUACUUGGUAGAUAAGAAGGCUGGCAACUUCAACAAAAGUAUAUUUGAUUUAUGUGUUGUUGAUGUGUACCUUACUAGUACUCCUAGUAGCACCUGGGUAUUAGAUACCGGUUCAGUUGCUAAUAUUGGUAACUCGAAAAAAAAGCUACGGAAUAAACGGAGACUAGCUAAGGGCGAGGUGACGAUGUGUGUUGGAAGUGUUUCCAAGGUUGAUGUGAUCACCAUCGCACGCUCCCUCUACCUUCGGGAUUAGUGUUGAACCUGGAUAAAUGUUGUUUGCAUUGGUGUUUGCGUUGAGCAUGAACAUGAUUAGAUCAUGUUUGUUGCAAUACGGUUAUUCAAGUCAGACAAUAAUGGUUAUUCUGUUUACAUGGAUGACACCAUCUAUGGUCAUGCACCCAAUGUAAAUGGUUUAUUGAAUCUCGGUCGUAGUGAUACACAUGUUCAUAACAUUGGUGCCAAAAGAUGUAGAGUUGAUAAUGAUAGUACCACUUUCUUGUGGCACUGCCGCUUAGGUCAUAGAUUUGGGUUGGCACGGGGAUCCUUUGAUCGAUUUCCUUGAUUUGAUCGCGUGUAAAGCGCAUGAAGAACCUCCAUGCCGAUGGAAUUUUGAAGUCACUUGAUUUUGAAUCACUUGACACAUGCGAACCAUGCCUCGUUGGCACGAUGACUAAAACCCCGUUCUUUGGAACAAUGGAACGGGCAAGUGACUUGUUGGAAAUCGCACAUGCUGAUGUGCGCGGUCCGAUGAGUGUUGACGCACGCAGUGGAUAUCAUUAUUUUCUCAACUUCACCGAUGAAUUGAGUAGAUAUGGGUAUAUUUACUUAAUGAAGCAUAAGUCUGAAACGUUUGAAAAGUUCAAGCAAUUUCAGAGUGAAGUUGAGAAUCAUCAUAACAAAAAUAUCAAGUUCCUACAAUCUGAUCAAGGGGAGAGUAUCUGAGUUAUGAGUUUGGCAAUCACUAAAGACAAGGUGAGAUCAUUUCACAGUUGACGCCACCUGGAACACCAUAGCGUAAUGGUGUGUCCGAACGUCGUAAUCACACCCUAUUGGAUAUAGUGCGAUCUAUGAUGUCUCUUACCAAUCUACCGUUAUCAUUUUGGGGUUAUGCAUUAGAGACAAUUACAUUCACUUUAAAUAGGGCACCAUCUAACUCCGUGCAGACGACACCGUAUGAACUGUGGUUUGGCAAGAAACCUAAGUUGUUGUUUCUUAAGGUUUGGGGCUACGAUGCUUAUGUCGAUAGGCUUCAGCCAGAAAAGCUCGAACCCAAAGCGGAAAAUUGUGUCUUCAUAGAAUACCCAAACAAGACGAUUGGGUAUACCUUCUAUCUCAGAUCUGAGAGCAAAGUGUUUGUCACUAGGAACAGGUCCUUUCUUGAGAAAGAGUUUCUCUCGAAAGAAUUGAGUGGGAGGAAGAUAGAACUUGAUGAGGUUGUUGAACCUUUACUUCAACCAGAGAGUAGCGCAACACAGAAAGAUGUUUCUGUGGCACCUACCUCAGUUGAAGAGAAAGCUAAUGAUGAUGAUCAUGGAGCUUCAUAUCAAGUUACUAUCGAACCUCGUAGGUCGACAAGGGUGUGUACAAAUUCUGAGUGGUAACCCUGUCUUAAAGGUCAUGUUGUUGAACAAUGAUGAACCUAUGAGCUAUGGAGAAGCGAUGGUGGGCCCGGAUUCCAACAAAUGGCUGGAAGCCAUGAAAUCCGAGAUAGGAUCCAUGUAUGAGAACAAAGUGUGGACUUUGGUGGACUUGCCCGAUGAUCGGCAAGCCAUUGAGAAUAAAUGGAUCUUUAAGAAGAAGACAUACACUGAUGGUAAUGUCACCAUUUAUGAAGCUCGACUUGUCUCAAAGAAGUUUCCGACAAGUUCAAGGAGUUGACUGUGAUGAGACUUUCUCAAUCAUAGCGAUGCUAAAGUCUAUUAGAAUUAUGUUAGCAGUUGCUGCAUUUUCAUUUAUGAAAUCUGGCAGAUGGAUGUCAAAACAAAGUUUCCUUGACGGUUUCCAUGAGGAAAGGCUGUAUGUGAUACAACCAGAAGGUUUUGUCGAUCCUAAGGAUGCUAAAAGGUAUGCAAACUCCAGCGAUCCUUCUAUGUACUGGAGCAAGCAUCUCAGAGUUGGAACAUACGCUUUGAUGAGGUGAUCAAAGCAUUUGGGUUUAUACAAAGUUUGCAAGAAACUUGUAUUUGCAAGAAAGUGAGUCGGAGCACUACAACAUUUUGAUAAGUAUAUGUGGAUGACAUAUUGUUGAUCAGAAAUGAUGUAUAAUUUCUGGAAAGCAUAAAGGGUUGUUUGAAUGGAGUUUUUCAAACAAAGACCUGUGUAAAACUACUUACAUGUUGGGUAUCAAGAUCUAUAGAGAUAGAUCAAGACGCCUGAUAAGAAUUUCACAGAGCACAUACCUUGACAUGAUCUUGAAGGAGUUCAAGAUGGAUCAGUCAAAGGAGUUCUUGCCUGAGUUGUAAGGUGUGAAGUCAAGACUUGAAGCUCGACCACCGCAGAAGAAAGAGAAAGGAUGAAAGCCGUCCCCUAUGACUUAUCCAUAGGCUCUAUACGAUAUGCCAUGCUGUGUACCGCACCUGAUAUGUGCCUUGCCACGUGUCUGGCAAGGGGGUACAAGAGUGAUCCAAGAAUGGAUCAUUGGACAGCAGUCAAAAUUGUCCUUAGAGGAAUAAGGAAAUGUUUCUCGGUUAUGGAGGUGAUAAAGUGUUCGGCGUAAAGGGUUACGUUGAUGCAAGCUUUAACACCUAUAUGGAUGACUCUGAGUAGCAAACCGGAUACGUAUAGUGGAGAAACCAUUUGGAAUAGCUCUAAGUGGAGCGUGGAAGCAGCAUCUACAAUGUGAUAUAGAGAUUUGCGAAGAACACACGUAUCUGAAUGUUCCAGAUCUGUUGACUAAAACCUCUCUCGUAAGAAUAACAUGAUCAAACCCUAGAACUCAUUGACAUGGUGAUGUGAACUAGAUUAUUGACUCUAGUAAACUCUUGGGUGUUAAUCACAUGGCGAUGUGAACUAGAUUAUUGACUCUAGUAAACUCUUUGGGUGUUAGUCACAUGGCAAUGUGAACUAUGAGUGUUAAUCACAUGGCGAUGUGAACUAGAUUAUUGACUCUAGUGCAAGUGGGAGACUGUUAGAAAUAUGCCCUAGAGGCAAUAAUAAAAUGGUUAUUAUUAUAUUUCCUUGUUCAUGCUAUAAUUGUAUUAACCAGAAACCGUAAUACAUGUGUGAAUACAUAGACCACAACAUGUCCCUAGUAAGCCUCUAGUUGACUAGCUCAUUGAUCAAUAGAUGGUUAUGGUUUCCUGGCCAUGGCCAUUGGAUGUCGUUGAUAACAGGAUCACAUCAUUAGGAGAAUGAUAUGAUGGACAAGACCCAAUCCUAAGCAUAGCACAAGAUCGUGUAGUUCGUUUGCUAGAGCUUUUCUAAUGUCAGGUAUCAUUUCCUUAGACCAUGAGAUUGUGCAACUCCCGGAUACCGUAGGAGUGCUUUGGGUGUAUCAAACGUCACAACAUAACUGGGUGGCUAUAAAGAUGCACUACAGGUAUCUCCGAAAGUGUCUGUUGGGUUGGCACGAAUCAAGACUGGGAUUUGUCACUCCGUAUGACGGAGAGGUUUCUCUGGGCCCACUCAGUAAUGCAUCAUCAUAAUGAGCUCAAUGUGACUAAGGAGUUAGCCACGGGAUCAUGCGUUACGGAACAAGUAAAGAGACUUGCCGGUAACAAGAUUGAACGAGGUAUGGGGAUACCGACGAUCGAAUCUCGGGCAAGUAACAUACCGAUGGACAAAGGGAAUUGUAUACGGGAUUGAUUGAAUCCCCGACAUCAUGGUUCAUCCGAUGAGAUCAUCGUGGAACAUGUGGGAGCCAACAUGGGUAUCUAGAUCCCAAUGUUGGUUAUUGGCCGGAGAGAUGUCUCGGUCAUGUCUACAUGGUUCCCGAACCCGUAGGGUCUACACACUUAAGGUUCGGUGACGCUAGAGUUGUUAUGAGAAAUUGUAUGUGGUUACCGAAAGUUGUUCGGAGUCCCGGAUGAGAUCCCAGACGUCACGAGGAGUUUUGGAAUGGUCCGGAGGUGAAGAUUUAUAUAUGGGAAGUCCAGUUUCAGUCACCCGAAUGGUUUCGGGGGUUAUCGGUAUUGUACCGGGACCACCGAAAGGUGUCCGAGGGUCCACCGGGUGGGGCCACCUGCCCCAGAGGACUUAGUGGGCUGAAUAUGGGUGGGAACCAGCCCACUAGUGGGCUGGUGCACCCCCCAAGGGCCCAAGGCGCCUAGGGUUGGAAACCCUAGGGGAGGGGGCGCCUCCCACUUGCUUGGGGGGCAAGUUUUCCCCUCUUGGCCGCCGCCCCCGCGCCCCAUCUAGAUGGAUCUAGGGGGUCGGCCCCCUCUCCCCUUUCCCCUAUAAAUUGUGGGGGGGUGGGAGGGCUGCAGCACCCCUUCCCUGGCGCAGCCCCUCCCUCCUCCAACACCUUCUCCUCCUUCGUGGUGCUUGGUGAAGCCCUGCAGGAGAACCGCAAGCUCCACCGCCACGUCGUCGUGUUGCCAGAGCUCUCCCUCAACUUCUCCUCUCCCCUUGCUGGAUCAAGAAGGAGGAGACGUCCCCGGGCUGUACGUGUGUUGAACGCGGAGGCGCCGUCCGUUCAGCGCUAGAUCGGAUCUUGCGCGAUUUGAAUCGCCGCGAGUACGACUCCAUCAACCGCGUUCUUGUAACGCUUCCGCUUAGCGAUCUUCAAGGGUAUGAAGAUGCACUCCUUCUCUCUUGUUUCUAGCAUCUCCUAGAUUGAUCUUGGUGACACGUAGGAAAAUUUUGAAUUAUUACUACGUUCCCCAACACUUGGGAUCCUCAACUGCCAAGUUAGACCUCAUCGACAGCGACCACGAGGAGGAGCCAAUCUGUGACAAGUGAGGAAACCCAUGAUUUUUUUCUCGAACCCCUUUUGUAGUGAGAACAUUCCCAGUUUUUUAUUGCUAUAUUUGGUUGUUUGCAUUACGCCUUGCUUAUUUCUAAGGUUUAUGGUUGUUCGGUUGUUUGUAGUUAGCAUAUAUCCAGUUUCAAUUACCAUCUUUGGUUGUUCGUAGUAUGCCUUGUUUAUUUCAGCUAUUAAUAGUGUGAUGUUCUAUAUGUGCUAGUAUGAACUAUGUAGUUCAAUUUUAUCAAUACCAAAUUUAACAAUAGCUCUAUGAAUGACUAUAUUUGGUUGCUGUUAAGCAUGUUGUACUCCCUCCAAAACUUUUUAGUUCGCAUAUAAGAUUUGUCUAAAGUCAAGCCUCGUAAAGUUUGACCAACUUUAUAGAACAAAAUACCAACAUUCGCAAUAUGAAAUAAAUAUUAGUACUUGUGUCAUGACUUAAAUUUUCAUAUUGUGUAACUUUAGCAUGGUAGAUGUUGAUAUUUUUUCAUAUAAAUAACGUCAAACUUUAUGAAGUUUGACUUCAGACAAUUCUUAUAUGCAGAGUACAAAGGACCGGAGGGAGUAUUGAACACGCCUUUCCAUUUGAUUUAACAAUGGCACUGUUUGGAUACUCUAACUUAGCUAGAGGUUAGAGUUAGUUUCUAGCUCAUGACAGUUAAAAGGGAGAGAGAGAGAGAGAGAGAUUGGUGGAAUAGUUGAUUGUAUUGCUUGAGCCUCGCGGGGUACAAGUCAAGGUAGAAUAAAUCCUACGCUAUCCUACGUUUCCUAAAUAACAAUGAUACUAAACAAUGACUAACUCUAGCCAAAGAGGUGUUUGAAUGACAGUGUUAGAUUGACAAUAAAUGCACUAGGAGAACUAGCCCCAAUCAGCACCUCUUGGGUGGGAUAGUUGUUUUGGGUGGGUUUGAUGCAACUAGCUCAAACAAGCCCUCAUGUUUGGAUACUUUAGGGCUAUUUGAGCCCAAACUAGCUCAAACUAACUCUGACCCAUGGAUCCAAACAGGGCCAAUAACUAGUGUACUUAGACCUGCACAAUACAAGUUUGAAUGACUACGUUUGCUUGUUUUUAAAUAUUAAGCAUGUUGCAGUUAAUAACACACCUUUCCACUUCUUGUUUUUAAAUAUCAGGUUUUUAACAAUUUGGUCUUGCACAAGUAGGUUCUGCUGUCAGAGGUUUUGACCCACUAUUUGACCCUUUUUGCAUAUGUGGAAAUGAGUUGUCCAUGAAUAUCAGUCAAGUCAAGAAACUCAGAAAGAUUGUUACGAUAAAGAAAUUAGCGAAAAAAACAAGAUCUUUGUCUGCACAAUGGAGAAGACAUCAGUUCACUACGGGAUGGUACUAACUGUUAUACCUUGUAUUUUUAAUUCCUUUGCGCCAUUUCAAAUCUAGAGAAGAUAUUUAUGCAUAUCCUUGUUUUCAGGCCUUUCCAAAGCAGUUCACUGAUGUUACCUCUCAAACCACCUGUAUGGUCAGGAGGCGAGGAAGGUUUUCAUACAAUACCCACGGUUCAAUAUUGAAGUGUUCCUGAAGAGCACGAAGGAUGGACGGUCAAUCAUCCACAGGCACUGGCCUAAAGUUGCAAAGACCAUCAACAUCAAUGAAGGCUCAAUAUUGGCCUUCCACUUCAGCAGUUUUCCAGAUGAGAUUCAUCUGUCUAUAUACCGUCUAUGAUGCCAAUUUCGAAAUGUUAUAGAUGUUGCAUGUGAAACUUGGUGCUGGUGUAGUUGUGUAAUGGGGUAGCUGAGUGCUGAAGCUAUAUGAUGUUGUACUCUGAUGUAUUUCAAUUAUGAAAUCCUGCUUCCUUAAUAUGGAAAGGAAAUAUAUUGUGUGCUUAAUAUGAAAUGUCAAUUAGAUUAAUAAAUGGACUAUUAAUAAUAGGGCAAUUAGCCUGCUAAUUGGGUUUUCUAUUGCAAAUGGUUAUUGAGAAAACACUAUGGGCGAUGACCUCAGGCAACGCACACAGUUUCUAGGAAUAAACCAUGUUGGAUCAAUGGACAAUCACACACGACAUCCUCUUGAAAACUGUUUGCGUUAGGCCACCUUGCGCAAACGUUUACCACAUAAAAAGUGUGUGUGAUGGACAACUUUUGCCACAUAGUUUCUUCUACGCACCGUGUGUGAUGCAUUCAAUAACCCAAACGGUAAAAUUGUUAAUAUUGUGUGCAAUGGUAACGCUAUCACAAACGAUUUAAUGGGGAAAAUUGUGUGAUGUACCUACGAACGGAAACGUUUUCCUUGGAGUGGGUGUGUGGGAUGUAUAUACAAACGGAAACGUACUUCUUAGAUUAACUGUGUGGGAUGUACAUACUAACGGAAACGUAUUCCUUGGAUUGACUAUGUGGAAUGUACAUACGAACAGAAACGUUUAGCCGGGACUGACUGUGUGGGAUGUACUUACGACCGGAAAUGAUUUGGCCUGUAUAAUUAUAUUUUUUAGCACAACUGUACGUAUAACCGUAUUUGAUCGCUCGCCCGUUGCACAUGACCUCAUUUUGCCGAGCGUGUGUACCAGGGGGCCUAUCCCCGACGGUUUCUGGGUCGUGUGGGAAGGACCCCAUAUCGCAGUCACUCACUUGGCGACGGUUCAGAACGCCGUCACGGAAAGGGGUUAAAAACCGUUUGUAUAGCACCUCACUGUACCAGUGAUCACAUGUCUUGGAUACAUUUGUACCCUUGUGUUGCAUCCAGCCCCUUGUAUGUACUUGGAUGAGCUUCAUUUCACAAGAUUGCAAAUCACUCAUAUCAUGAGCAAUCUUCUCAUGACCAAGUAUCUUCACUUUGGUUGUUGUGUUCAAGGAACAAAAACACACUCAAUAUAUCCUUUGACAACUUAUUUAUGAUGAAUUUCAUUCUUGUCAAUUUGGAUAAAUGAAUGUUGUUCCUUGCAAGACUAAGCCAUGUAGGAAGAUGAGCUUCAAAUAAAUAAGAGAUGCUCCCAACUCAAUUCAUAUGAGCAUCCACCACAAGUUCAACUACGUGAGCAAGUUCGACAACAAGCCAAAGGUAUGUCCUCACAUCUUAGAGAAGCUUUGCUCCAAGUCAUGAGUCAAAGCCACUCAACAAGAUGUGAAUACAUUGAAACGCUUAAAUGAAAAAUGGUAACCCCAUUUUGAGCUUAACGAUGAGUAUGACCUAUGAUCAAGUGAUCUCACUCGACUUCUAAGUCAAUAUACUCUAACAUAGGCGACUUAGUCGUCGACCCCCUCUAGAUGAAGUUCUCUAGUGUUUCCUUUUCUUAGUUGCAUUUCUUUUGCUAGAGUGCCUUCUCUUUUUCUUAAAAAAACUUCAUCUAGAUUUCUUCUCUUUAUUUUUCUGUGUUGUUUCUCUUGUAGUUAGACUUUGGUAAAUUCAUUGCAAAUCAUAUUCGAAUUCCCUGAAAAUCUUUCUGAGAACACUACUGCAAGUGAGCUGAGUUGACAAAAAUUUCCUUUUGUGCUGAAGUUGGUCUCUCCGACCUGAACCCACCAGCCACACCGAAGUGCAACUAAACCCUGCACGCAGUUCAUCGGUUCCACCGAAAAGGACUAAUUCGGUUCCACUGAUGUGCUCUAUCUGAGAUUCCUCAAUCUCAGAGUCGCUGAUCAAAAUCAAUCGGAGUCACCGAUUUAACUACAGAGAGAAUUUUUUGCCAAAUCUACCUAUUCUUUCUUUCCAGCUCCACUUGAUGAUUCUUUUUCCUCUAUCUGCAUCCAAAACUACAUUAUGUCUAGUUGUGCUUCUCCAGGACCAUCUCACUUGACUCACAACCUUGAAGCCUACCCUUCUUGGAAAUUGAUGCCAAAGUUCGAGAGAGAUGCACAUCAAAGCUUAUUCACAAACCUCUUCUAAGAAAGGAAGAGAAAGAUGCACUAUCAUAAGAGGACAGAAUUUACAUGUCUCUAAGAGGGGAGAGAUAUGUUGUCCUGAUUUUGUAGUUUGCUCUGAUUUUGUCUCGCCCUACCUACUCCCAUUAUCCAAUGCUAGAUUCGGGGGGAGAGGAAGUAAAAUCUUAGAGGAGAAAAAUCAUUGGAAGUCCAUUGCAAAUCUUAUUAGAUUUUUUGGGGACAUGUCUAUAUCUAAAAGAGUACUCACCUAGUGGUACUUAUCUAACACAUGUCAUUCCAGUCUUGGUACUCUCGUGGAUCAUUCGGCUUCUCUCUUGUUGAAAUUUCCUUGUGUUGCCUAACAUUGUUUUCUCAAGAUCAUUUCUUCUAGAAUUAGUUCGAGGACCACAAGGUAAGUAUAUGCAUCUUACUCAUGUACAUGAUGAUCUCUUGCUUUGCACAUAUUAAUGUUUGCAAGAUGAAUCAUAAACAUGAAGGUACAUCUCUCAUCAUUUUUUCUCUGAUGCAUAUAGCUAGGAUACAUGUAACACUUUACUCAUUCUAUCAUGUUGUGCAUUCACAUGUCUUCAACUCUUAUCAUAAACAUGAUUACACACCUAUAGGGGGAGCUUAUGCAUGUUACAUGUUUAUUCAAAGUUUGAAUGAACUACCCUCAUCAAUUACCAAAAAGGGGGAGAUUUAAAGCACAUUUGCUCCCUUGGUGGUUUUGUUAAUUAAUAUCAACAUAUUCCUUAUUCGACUAAAAGGUUUACCUAGAAUAUUUCAGAUAAGUUCAAUGGUGGUGUGGCAAGGACAUGAAGAUGUGAGCUCUUUCAAAAUGUGAAGAACAAAUUUGGCUACCCCAAGACUCUACAUUUUUGGUUUAGUGAUCCAAUAUCACAUUGAGUCCCUUAGGAAAGUUAAUACUAUUAAAAGAGGGUGAGGUAUUGUUGAUGAGGUUGUUGCUCAAAGUGCUGAGUGAUAUUGCUCCAAAAAACCCUUAGUCACUUUCCCACAAUCACAUCUGUCCAAACCCUAAAUCAUCAUUUCGGUCCCACCGACACAUCCAUACCGGACUCACCGAGAUGACCCUUCUACUGCCGCAGCCAAAACCCUAUCAUUUCGGUCUGACCGAAAUGGCUCUCGGUCCCACCGAGAUGGCCUUGCCUAGUUUCUGUGAUGAAAUCACUUCAUUUCAGAAUCACCGAAUGAAACUGGUCGGAAUUACCUAAAUAGGGUUCUGCCUUUGCCAUUGCACUUCGAUCCCACCGAGAUGGUAUAAUCGGUCUCACCGAAAACACUAACUGUCAAGUCUUUUGCACUAGUCGGUCUCACCGAGUUUAUCACUUCGGUCCCACCGAGUUAGGUCAAAAGCUUGUAACGGUUGCAUUUUUGGUGUUGCCUAUUUAUACCCCUCCACCACCACUUACUCUCUAAGAGAGCCAUCAGAACAAAAUACAACUUCCACCAUUCAAUUUUUGAGAGAGAACCACCCGCUCAUGUGCUGAGAUCAAGAGAUUCCAUUCCUACCAUUUGAACCUUGAUUUCUAGCCUCUUCAAGUUGCUUUCCACUCCAAUCCUUCUCCUACCCAAGCCAAAUCUACGAGAGAGAGAUUGAGUAUUGAGGAGACUAUCAUUUGAAGCACAAGAGCAAGGAGUUCAUAACCAACACAACAUCUAUUACCUUUUGGAGAGUGUUGUCUCCUAGAUUGGUUAGGUGUCACUUGGGAGCCUCCAAGAUCAUGUGGAGUUGAACCAAGGAGUUUGUAAGGGCAAGGAGAUCACCUACUUCGUGAAGAUCGUCCCGAAUGAGGCUAGUCCUUCGUGGACGUAAGCCAUGGUGGAAUAGACAAAGUUGCUUCUUCGUGGACCCUUCGUGGUGGAGCCCUCCAUGGACUCACGCAACCGUUACCCUACGUGGGUUGAAGUCUCCAUCCACAUGGACGUAUGAUAGCACCACCUAUGGGAACCACGCCAAAAAUUUCCGCGUCUCCAUUGCGUUUGCUCAUUCCAAUUCCCAUCCCUUUUACAUUCUUGCACUUGCAUGCUUUACUCUUUCCGCUACCUAUACUCAUGUCAUGCUUGUGUAAAAUGUAUUGUGCGCCCUUUAACAUGUGCUAAACUCAACUUUAACUUGAAGAAUUGUAAAAACUGCUACUUUUACUUGUUAAGGGUCUAAUCACCCCCCUCUAGACCCCUCUUCUCGAUCUGGGGAGCUGGGCGGAGCUGGCAAGAAGGCCCAUCACCUCCAAUGGCCGAGCACCAUGCCCGCAAGACGCACUAGGCAGCGCGUCGGUGCGCGAGCAGGCGCCCCGAAUUGUCGAGGAAGACAGACACACGAAGCAGGACAUGCCACCUCGAAGACCCCCAAGGGUGGCCAGACGAGGACACAACCAACACGCAGGCCGACGAGCAGGAGGGUUGUCGAUUGGAUCUGAGGGAGAGGCGAAGUGUCGCUCUCAGCCGUGCCCGAGAGCCUCAGCGCGCUGAGAGAGGAUUCCUCGCCGCCGCCAUUAGCCGUGCAGGUUCGCCUUGCGGAGGCGGCGGCUAGGGUUGUUGUUCUGCGUCAAUCGCCCGCACGGGAGCAAUGUGGGGGUCCUUNNNNNNNNNNNNNNNNNNNNNNNNNNNNNNNNNNNNNNNNNNNNNNNNNNNNNNNNNNNNNNNNNNNNNNNNNNNNNNNNNNNNNNNNNNNNNNNNNNNNNNNNNNNNNNNNNNNNNNNNNNNNNNNNNNNNNNNNNNNNNNNNNNNNNNNNNNNNNNNNNNNNNNNNNNNNNNNNNNNNNNNNNNNNNNNNNNNNNNNNNNNNNNNNNNNNNNNNNNNNNNNNNNNNNNNNNNNNNNNNNNNNNNNNNNNNNNNNNNNNNNNNNNNNNNNCGCCCGUAAAACUAUGUGUUCACAUAAAUCCCUUUUUUGCGUUGAGAGUGCUUCCUUUCCACCAAGCCAAUUUGCAUUAGCGUCGGUUUGUGUGAAAUAAGGAACCCCUUUGUUAGCCCGGCGUGUGUUUGGAUAGUACUUAAUAGCAGACCUAGGUUAGGGUUCUCGACACUUUUUGGAUUGUAGGUUGCAAUACAAGCGAGAGGGAGGCCGACUAAUAGCCUAGCACAUAACCCAUGUUUGUAUGAUGGAGGUUGUUGUACGGUGAUGCAGCCUCUGGGUGUAGUUGAGGGUCAUUGGAUGCAACUCCUAUACUGGGUGCAAAUAAUGAUGCAGCCCGCAAGUCGAGGAAAUUGCACAAACCACCUACUUUUGAUGCUAUUGUUGCACAAAACACCUACUUUACAGGUUUGUUCCACAAAACACCAUAUAUUGGUUUAAUUUGUUGCAGCUAUGUCUAAUCUACCAUUUCGAUGUGUUGACACUUUUAUCAGAAAAAAAUUAGGUGUGUUGACAUGAUUCCUGACAAGCGGGUCCAGUUUGUAAGUGCAUCAGUGGCAAAAAAAAGAACAACCGGCCACAUCAGCCAACUAGAGUUGUCAAUAUCUCGCAAUCCUUUGCUCCAAUUGAGCUAAAUUUUCUCUAGAACAUUAGCAAUGCAUUUUUGAUUUAUUGGAUUAUUUUUGCACAAAACACCUUGCAGAGAAGAGCAGGCGGCGGCGGUCGUCCCUUCGCUGGCAAAAUGGCCAUCGGUGAUGGAGCCUAGCCAGCUCUCCUACGUCGUCGGGUAAGUGCGUCUCCACGCCCCCCCCCUCCCCACCUCCUUCCCCACCCAAGGUUUGCUCGUCUCCUCCUACCUCUUCAUGUUCGUUAGGUAUUCUUCUCCCCCGUGAAACCCAAUAUUUUCAGGCGGCAAUUUUGUCGUCGGUCACGUAUAUUUGUUUAGGAACCUAAAUUUUUGGGUAUUUGUGUUAAAGCGUUAAACAAUCAAAAAGUAUAGAUACGUUUGAGAUGUAUCCGUGGCCGCCCCCUACCCCCCUUAGGGUCGGGCCUUUAUCAAAGAUUGUUUGCGCACUGUAAUGGAAAAGAAUCCUAGUUCUAGAUUUCGUGUACAUACAAUCCAUCCUAUCAACAAACCUGAAAAAAAAUAAGUUUUCAUGGUCUUUUCUUUGGUCUACAUACCCAAAUCAAAGGUUUUAAGAAUGGAUGCACCGUUUCGAAGAAAAAAAGAAUGGAUGCAGGCCUUGCAUUGGUAAAUAUCUCACCUCCAAUCGAAGGGUUUAAGAAUGGAUGCGAUACUCCCAUUGGUCAACUAUUUUGUUCAAAAUUUAACAUUUAAAAAAUGCAAAAAUAGUCCAAUAAAUUAUAAAUGCACUCAGUAAUAUUCUGGGGAAAAUUCAGCUCAAUUGGAGCAAAGUAUUGUGAGACACUCACAGUUCUACUUAGUUGCUGAUGUGCCCAGGAUUUUUUCUGCCAUCGGUGCACUUAUAAAUUGGACCCACUUGUUAGGAAUCAUGUCAACGCACUAAAUGAUGGGUUAGACCUAGCUGCAAUGAAUUACCUCAAUACAUGAUGUUUUGUGCAACAAACCUGUAAAGUACUCCCUCCAUCUCAAAAUAAGUGUCUCGCUUUAGUACAACUUAUUUUAGGACGGAGGGAGUAUGUGUUUUGUGCAACGCUAGCACCAAAAGUAGGUGGUUUGUGCAAUUUCCUCCCCGCAAGUCUGGUAAAUAGGAGGAUCCCUUAGACUCUUCCUCAAAACAUUUUACCGUACAUUUGCAUGCAUGUAUGAGAAAAGGUUUAUAGUAUAGAAUAAAAUGGUUUGGCUUGAAAAAUCUUUAUUCACCGGCGCUGCCGCCAAGACGCCACGGCGAAGCCCCACUGAACCGAGCGCACGCAGGCGACGGCGCGCGCGGCGGCACAAGCCCGGUGACGCAUUGCUCUCUCCGCGCGCGCGCGCGCACUACGACCUGAAUAUAGUAGCGGUCCCGUAGCAGUGCUGUCUAUUCCUCCGAUCCACUGUUGCGUGACGAUUUUGUACAGUGCCAAAGUUAGUAGGACUCGUGGUAUACGGCUGUACGUACCAACAACACCGAGCAGACCAAACUCUGCGAUACGAACGACGCUUCCCUUUCAAGCCUCCCGAGUAGAAGAGAGAGAGGGGCUGGGUAGGUGGAGCGAGCCAGUACGGCUCGCUCGUUCGGUCGAUCGGUGCACAACGACGACGGCGUAGGCGCCUAGCUACGACCCCACGCUGACACGUAUAGGGCCCAGACACAGUUGUACCGCCACCUGCGCCGCUCCAAUCUCCUCCUGCCUCGCUCGCCGCAUCGAUCCACUCCAGCUCCUCUCUCUUCGACCUCCAGCACAGUCCAGAGAGACUCCCUUUAUACACGCGCCUCGCUCGUUCCCCCGCCAGCAGCCAUAGCCCAUAGCUCGAUCAGUCGUUUCAUGGUCUCCGGCACCGUUCAUGGGACAUGCCUCCAUCACUCUCCUCCCUCCGCUCCCUCUUCACCAGGACGCUGGGCCUGGGCUCGGGCGGCGCCGAGCACAGCGGGGAUGAGGAGUCUCAGGCCGGCGGCGGGCCCGUGCCGUCGGGUGGCAGCCGGCCGGUGGCGGGGCCUCCGGGGGAGUGCUACGCGUGCACGCAGCCCGGGGUGCCGGCGUUCCACUCCACGACGUGCGACCAGGUGCACUCGCCGGGCUGGGACGCCGACGCCGGCUCCUCGCUAGUGCCCGUGCAGGCGCAGCAGCUGCGGGCGCAGCCGCUCCCGGGGGCGGCCGCCGUCGCCGCCGCGCGGUGGCUGUUCGGGCCGGUGCUGGACCCGCGGAGCAAGCGCGUGCAGCGCUGGAACCGCUGGAUCCUGCUGGGCCGCGCGGCGGCGCUGGCCGUGGACCCGCUCUUCUUCUACGCGCUCUCCAUCGGCCGCGCGGGGCGGCCCUGCAUGUACAUGGACGCCGGGCUCGCCGCCGCCGUCACCGCGCUGCGCACCUGCGCCGACGUGGCCCACCUCGCCCACGUCCUCGUCCAGUUCCGCCUCGCCUACGUCUCCCGCGAGUCGCUCGUCGUCGGCUGCGGCAAGCUGGUCUGGGACCCGCGCGCCAUCGCCGCGCACUACGCCCGCUCCCUCAAGGGCCUCUGGUUCGACCUCUUCGUCAUCCUCCCCAUCCCCCAGGUCAGUCAGCCUAGCUCUCUCAAUUCAGUGCCCACCUGUGCAUGACCUGGAACCUCGAUUUACUACCAUUUUCACCAUGGAAAUCAAGCUCUGAGCCAUCGAAUCAACCGCUAGGACGACAUGCCGCGCCCAAGUAGGUGGGAAAUGAAAUGCGGCAGAACUAUGGGCGUCGCCCCAUGUCUGGCUCUGGUUCUUAGACAGACCACAACGUCCUUGUCGGGAAAUGUUAGCAGUAGGGCACAGGAGUACAUGGCGCGUACAACAGUGCCCACCAGCCAGUUCAUCUGUAAACUUAUUUGCAGGUUGUCACCUAUGCCUUGGUACGUACGUGUCCAUGUGUCUACUGGCAGCGACGCUCCAGCCCCCACCAGCCUACUAGAAUGGCCCUGACCCUAGCUAGAAGAGAAUUCUGAUCAAAACUAGCAGCGGGACGACAGAGACCGAUGCGCUCACGCUUACGGAAUAAUAAGUACGGAUGGUUAGCGGGAAUGAUUGGUGUCGAUCAGAAUAUGACCGUGGAUGCGAUGGGGAGACGACUUCGAUGACACUUCAAUUAUGCGUCUUGAUCUCCAUGCGCGGCGCUCAUGGUAGGGGUGACUUGUUCGCACGGUUAAGCUUGCAGCAAGGAGACGACGAGCAUUAUUUAGAGGAGUAAAAUUGUGAUUUCUCUUGUAAUGUAGUGACAGAGAUCUCAUUUCACCACUCCCUCUCGUGUGGCUGGUGUUCCUGCAACUGACUUAUUUUUCGCUGAUUAAUUAUUUACCGGUCUUUGUCGUCCAGAUCGAUCGUCCGGUCAUUAUUGGUUUUUGUCGUGUAAUAUUGAGUGCAUGUUCAUUCUCAUUUUGCAUAAUUGGUACUGCCAUUUUUACGCGGGGAGUUCGACGUGGAGUAGUAUCUGCCUAUUUGGAUCAGCCAUGGCCACAAAAUGUUAUUUCUGUCUUUUUCAUUAUUUAUGUGACGGUAUACAUGAAAGGUGAAGAGAAGUUAUUGUUUAAAAGGACCGCUGAAUAAUCUGCAUGGUGGAAUUGGGCAUAUUCUUUGUCUUUAGUUGCUUACCUUCAUGAAAUACGGAAAAUAACCCAUUACAGAGUGACCGGCAAGUUAGUUUUUUCGUAAAUAAAAAUGUAUCGUCAGAAAAUUUGCGUUCUGAAAGUGGGGUGUUGAGAAAAUGUGCUUAUGAUCAUGAUGCAGUAGAUUCUAAUUAUCGUAACAUAUUAGCUAUAUGUUGAAGAUUUAUUCUUGAAGGCCAAUAGAGAAACUAUAUAAGCUACCGAAGAUAGAAUUUGAGUCUGUAUGUGUGCUUACUAGUGAAAAAGUUGCAAUAUAUAGAAACAAUCAUUGUGGAGAGUUCUGAACUCUUUUACAUUGCUUUAUUUUUCAACUAACUGAUCCAUGCUAUUGUGCAGAUCAUCUUCUGGCUGGUUAUACCAAAGUUAAUCAGAGAAGAGCAAGUUAAAGUUAUCAUGACGAUACUGCUGCUCAUAUUCGUAUUGCAAUUUCUCCCCAAGGUGUACCAUAGUAUAUAUAUCAUGAGGAAAAUGCAGAAGGUGACAGGUUACAUCUUUGGAACAGUAUGGUGGGGAUUUGGUCUGAAUCUAUUUGCCUAUUUCAUUGCUUCUCAUGUGAGUACUCCCUCUUCCAUUAAGUAAUUCGAGGACAUAUAACAAAAUCAUGGAUAAGGAAUCCCAGAGUACUUUUAUGUGGUGCUAUUUAUUGCAAUCAUCGAUUUCUGGUUGUUAGUUUGGUCAAUGGUGUCUUUGCAUUUACACCACACCGCAGUAUUCUUUUCUAAGAAAAUCAAGGGUUGGUUCACAAUAUCUGCAAACAGGACUGCUUAAAUUGCAUGUGAAACAAUAAUUGUUUCAAGGGGAAGUACCAAACUGUUGAUGAUGAUAAUGGAAAAUUCGAAUUCUGGAUGCACUGUUUAUAUUAAAUGAAUUACCGCUGUCUGUAUUAUUGCUGAACAGGAAACUUGUUCAGACAAUCACAUCUAUCAUGUUGGUGCUGAAUGAUGAUUAUGUAUUACAUAAAUGCAGGCUGUUGGUCGAAAGAUCAACAUGCAAAAUAAAUAAAACGAAAGUAAGAUGCCCAUUAAAUAGCACAAUGGUUUCAACACAAAGUUUGUGUAAGAGAAAAACUUGAACUUAACCACCUAAAAAAUGCUCGUAUGUAUGUAAUCUGUUGGCCUGGCCAGCGUAAAAACAUUUACUCUGUGGAGUUUCUCAUGAAGCCACAGUUUGUGCUAAUUAGGUGGAUCAUGCCUGCUAAAUAGUUGUAGGCAAUGUUGGUUGUUAAUUAGGUUUCUUCCAUUUCCAGAUUGCAGGUGGGUGUUGGUACGUUCUUGCGAUUCAGCGCGUUGCCUCCUGCCUCCAAUCGGAAUGCGAGAUAAAAAACAACUGCAAUUUGAUGUCACUGGCUUGCUCCAAGGAGAUGUGCUUUCACUUCCCUUGGUCAUCAGAUAUGACUGCAUUGGCAUGCGAUACGAACUUAACUUCUUUCAGCCAACAAAAUGUGCCGGCCUGUCUAAGCGGCAAUGGCGCCUUUGCUUAUGGAAUCUACAAGGGAGCCCUUCCUGUUAUCUCGAGCAAUUCACUUGCUGUCAAAAUUCUCUAUCCCAUAUUCUGGGGCCUCAUGACCCUCAGGUAAUUUAUAUAAUAUUAUGUUAAAUAAGUAAUAUCAUCCAUUUCUGACAUAGGAAAUGUUUUCCACCCUGAAACUUGAAUAUCUGAAUGUUCGGUAGUCGGGUCGGCUGUCAUUCCGGUUAUCAUUCUGUUUGAAUAUGCACAUUGCUGACAGAUUUAUAUGCGAGGGAUUUGUUCAGUUUCUUAGUUCAGAAAUGGAAAACAUUGGUACUAUUCCAUGGUUGUUGUAUGCACGUGUAGGUUUAUUAGUUGUUCCCUUAUGAAGACAAAAGAUAAUUAAUACUACUACUGUAUAUUGCUCUACCACCACCUCUGCUCUCUUAUUGUCUCACACAGUUCGUCUGAAUCUAUUGGCAGUACUUUUGGCAAUGAUCUUGAGCCCACGAGCAACUGGCUUGAGGUGAUCUUCAGCAUCAUUAAUGUACUCAGCGGGCUGAUGCUCUUCACGCUACUCAUCGGAAACAUACAGGUGUGAAGUGCCACCAAUCUUACCCUGGCUUCAGCUACUUCAGGGAGUAUCAGUAGCAAGUAAGUGCAUUUUUGCUGCAGGUAUUCUUGCACGCCGUGCUGGCGAGGAAGCGGAAGAUGCAGCUGCGGUUCCGGGACAUGGAGUGGUGGAUGAGGCGGCGGCAGCUGCCGUCCCGGCUGCGGCAGCGGGUCCGCAAGUACGAGCGCGAGCGGUGGGCGGCCAUCACCGGCGACGAGGAGAUGGAGAUGAUCAAGGACCUGCCGGAGGGCCUCCGGCGGGACAUCAAGCGGUACCUCUGCCUGGAGCUGGUGAAGCAGGUGCCCCUGUUCCACGGCAUGGACGAGCUGAUCCUGGACAACAUCUGCGACCGGCUGCGGCCCCUGGUGUUCUGCGGCGGCGAGAAGGUGAUCCGGGAGGGCGACCCGGUGCAGCGCAUGGUGUUCAUCCUGCAGGGGCGGCUGCGGAGCACGCAGCCGCUGACCAAGGGCGUGGUGGCGGAGUGCGUGCUGGGCGCCGGGAGCUUCCUGGGCGACGAGCUGCUGUCGUGGUGCCUGCGGCGGCCGUUCGUGGACCGGCUGCCGGCGUCGUCCGCCACGUUCGAGUGCGUGGAGGCGGCGCAGGCCUUCUGCCUCGACGCGCCGGACCUGCGGUACAUCACGGAGCACUUCCGCUACAAGUUCGCCAACGACAAGCUCAAGCGCACCGCGCGCUACUACUCGUCCAACUGGCGGACGUGGGCGGCCGUCAACGUGCAGCUCGCGUGGCGGCGGUACAGGGCGAGGGUGAUGGCGACGGCGGUGCUCCCGCCGCCGCCGGCCGGCGCGGCGGGGCCCGAGGACGGGGACCGCCGGCUGCGCCAUUACGCGGCCAUGUUCAUGUCGCUCAGGCCGCACGACCACCUCGAGUAGGCUCGGGACCGAUCGGGGGGAUGGAUGCAGAGGGACCAUGGUUUGUACAAUGUGUAUCUGUCACGUUGUACCUGACAAGGUUCGCCAUUUAUUAAGGAUGAUCAGUACAAUAAUGGAGGUGGAGGUGGUAUUUCUUGGUCGGUUUUGCCGAUGGAUUUUGCAGGCAGGAUUUUCCGCAAGCAAAGAUGGGACGUCCCCAUCGUAGGUGAAGGCGCGGGGGAUUUCUCCGGGAGAUGCAGAUCCUUGCGUAGCUUGCGUUGCCCUGGGCAACUCGUAGGUUCCUGCACUCCUGCACACAGUUGCUCGUGAAAGUGGACGAAACUGACCCCUUUUGGAAACUUCAACACAAAAUACAAAAUGACCCCAAUUUAGAAAAAAAAUCACAAACCGGCCCCUUUUUGCAUGACGGGCUGGGGCGCCAUGCUACCUAGCAUGUAGCAAUGUGUAGCAUGACGCUCCGGGCUAGGGCGUCAUGCCACCUAGCCCCGGGCGUCAUGCAAAAGGGCUAGUUUCUGAAAUAUUUUUAGAUCGAGGUCAUUUUGUGUUGAAGUUUCGGAGAAGGGCCAGUUUCGUCCAUUUUCACCGGUUGCUAGGAGCGAGAGCCAACUGCCUCCGGACAGAGUGAAUCGCAAGAGUGAAUCGCAGCUAGGCGAAAAGGAGGCGACCACGGGUGCCCUUUGAGAGCCGCCCUCGUCGUUGCUGGUUCCCUCUCCCUCCGCCGGCCGCUUCGACGGCGGGAGGGAGGGGGGACCUCGGGUCUGUGCGUCAGAUGGGUUCUCGGUAGGGUUAGGAUUGAGGGAGUCGCUGCCGAGGCCGUUGCGGUGACGUCGCGUCUGAAUAAGUUUCCCCGGCUCCGUUCGCGGCCAGGUGAGGCUCGUGCAUUCGUCUAGGAGCCAGCGGGAUGGGGGAUCCCAGAUCUCGUCGAGGUCGCGGGCUAUGGUGUUUGGAGGUCGACCGGCACUGGCGGGGUUUGUCCUCAGAUGGGUGGUGGUUAUGUGGAGAUGGAGAUUCUUCUUCCCCAUUGUCGGUAUGAUUCCCUACCGCGCUUCUUCCUCCUUCUUUGUGUUUUAGCUGGAGGGAUGUCCUGCUUUGCCCGGGCAGUUGGCCCGACCACGGCGCCGGAAGCGGAUCCUAGUUCUCUUCCAUCUGGAAGGGGCACAUACAUCGGUACUCAAAGUCACAGAUGAUGAAGGCUGGUGCAGGCGUGUUGAAUGCAUAUGCGUGUCCUUGUCUUUUCGGUGCCGGAGUGAAGAAAAGGGGAGGCAGCGUGGCGACGAUUAUGCCGUUAUUAAAGAUGAUGAUCUGCUUGGGGCUGUUUGCAGAUUCUUGUGUUGUAGGAGUCUUCUCGCAAGGUUCGGAGUUAAUGCCACCGAGCUCCGGAGAUCAUCGUGUUUUACUGAUUUUUUAGGGUGCUAUUUGUUAUUCUGCUUCUUUACGUGUGUGUUAGGGUCUGCUUGUAUGGAUCUAGUACUUUGUAUUAUUUUGUGAUUUGAAUACAAGCAUAUUUUCUAUAAAAAAAAGGAGCGAGACGUUGCGUGGCCAAUGUCUUCGCUCUUUAGCACCGGUCUUGGCCUCCGAGUGUCGUUUCUAGUAGCAGUGGCAGAUCCUAGAAUCUCAUCCUUGGGGGUGGCACCGUUCAAAAUUUGUGAAAUUUUUCGCUAUAUGUAGUAUAAUUUGGUCCGAAUGUCCUCGUAAUUUCGACAAGUAAUCUUAAAAUAGCAUCAACUUAUUAAAUAUUGGUUAAAUAAUUUAUCGAUCGUGGAUUUGAUCGCUUCGCUUUAUUCCUCGCUUAGGCAUAGUUUUGGUCUUUGCUACUUGUCGGUGUGUGUGUGUGUGUGUGUGUGUGUGUGUGUGUGUGUGUGUGUUGAUGUUGGUUGUGUCAUCCUAGCUAUGCAGAGAUCGGGUGUAUGCUCAUUGUGUUUGUAUCCUCUUAAUGCUUCAUUUUGAGUUAAUAAAAUCCACCCUUUGCCGAAAAAAACAUUGUAAAAACUAUUUUGCGUUGGAUUCCAGAUCUGUCGCAAUAAGGGCGUUGGUGGUUGGGGGCGGCGCAGCUGCCUCACAAUUGUUGGUGCCUGGUCUUGGUGGCGGAGAGUGCGGCGACGGCCAUGGCCACGACCACUAACAUCUCCCUCCUUGCCAGCAACAGGAGGAGACUCUCCUCCUCACACCGAGUAGGGGUACAAAUUUCGAUGUAUGGGCCUAUCAUCCAAGAGCAAUACAAGCAACACACGAAGAAGAACGGUGACAAGGGCUUCACAUUGCAUCAUUGCUACAAAGAGCAUGCCAACAAUGAGAAGUGGGUUAGGAGGAACUCCUAGACCACACAGAGGGGUCAAGGAUAAGCAUAUUUGUUGAAGCCGAUGACGAGGAAGAUGAAAAUCUCAACAAGAGGUCAGAUGGUAACAAGAUUGCAAAAGAGAGAAAAUAAGAGAGGAGCCUUCAGUGGAACCUACAAGGAAGAGCUUGUGGCCAUGACUGGGACCAAGAAAGCAUUGGCGGCCGAACGCAAAGAAGAGAAGGCGGCAAGGUGGAAUGAGCUCAAGUCUUUGUACGACGAGAAAUGGAGGUUGAAGUUGGCACCCGAAGAGAGAAAGUUGAAGGCGGAGGAGUGUAGGCUUGCACUCGAGGAGGAGAGGCUUGUGAAAGGGAAGAAGGCCGAAGAACGAUCAUGAACCAAACAGAGGUCUCUCUUCAGAAUGGUGGUGGUGACCGUAUGGAUAGCGGGGUGAUCAUGUUGAUGGUGAUAGCCGUGGGAUGCUAGUGUCCUUGGAGGUGGUCAUGAUUUCUUUAAUGAUGAUGGUGCUUGAGUUCGUGUUACAUGUCUUUGGUUGGGCUCGAUCUAUAAGACAUGCUAUGUUGUGAUGAUUUUAGAUCAAACUUGAUCGAUAUGGUGCCUUUUGGAUGAACCAUAUGCAUGUUUUAAUUUGGAUUGUUCGAUCCGUGCAACUAUGUGCAUGUUCAUGGUUGAUUUAUUGUAUACGUUAAAUUUGAAUCAUUCAGAUGGUUGACGAAAUAGUGUGCAAUUGUUCCCUCUAAAUCAUUAUUAAUUUGUAAGGAGUUAAUAUAAAGGACCGGCUAGAACGACCACCCUAUAAAUCCUAAUUAACUUAUAAGGAGUUAAAAAUACUCGACCAUUUGCUUCUCUAAAUAAUGAGAGAUUGGUUAUAGAUGCUCUUAAGUCGUUAAGUUCUUUCGUUUGGGUGAUGUCUCAUAGACAUUGUAUGUGUUCUGUUUUCUAUGAUGAUAUAUGUUUUCUCUCUCAUGGUUGCAUGCAUCGCCCAGAUGCAGAGGCUAGAGGUAUAUUCUCCUUUUCUAAAAAAUAUAUUUUCUCUCUUAAUGAAUCGACAUGCCGCUUUUCUGUAUGAUUGAGGCAAAAAAAUUGCUCUUACUGACACCCAGGUUGCCCUAUCAGUUACAUCAUCCCCGACCGCCGCCGGUCUAGCAACUCGUGACGAGUGCCGAUAAUCAGUCACGAGACGAACUUCCCACAUUCACACUUCACAGCCUUUAAGUUGAGUUUUGGCUUGCGUACAAUUACAAGGGUAAUACUAGUACCCCAUUCAUUUUCUUUUUAUUCUGCAGAUAAGAUUUGUGUCAAGUUAAAUUUUACAAACUUUGAUCAAAUAUAUAUUAAAAAAUAUCAACAUCCAUGAUACCAAAUAUACAAAAUAUGAAGCUACAUUCCAUAAUGAAUCUGAUGAUAUUGAUUUGGUUUUAGGAAUGUUGAUUGAUAUUUAAUUUUUUAAGUUUGAUCAAAUUAGAGGUACUUUGACUUCAAACAAAAAUGAUAUGCAUGCUGAAAAGGAACGAAGGGAGUACUACCCCGGGCUACGUUGUAGAGGAGAAACUGUCGGCGGCCACCGGAGACCGGGUUACGCCGGCGAGGAGGCAAAUGCAACACAUACAAGAAGCACACAUUCUGAAUCUGUACAGGAGCAUACGGGCAUACAUACAACCCGGUUAAAAUACAUAUCGCUCCCCAGGUCGCUCCUGCGGGCGGCCCAGGAGCGAACCCUAGCCGCCGCCAGCGCAGGCCCCUCCUCCCCUCGCCGCCGCCGGCGGACGUCGAUGGGCGAAGCCCGCGCGGCUCGGCGGCGGCGGGGCCCUUCCCUCCUCCAGCUCGAGCAGGGGCGGCGCGGGCCGUUCGUUCGGGCGGGGNNNNNNNNNNNNNNNNNNNNNNNNNNNNNNNNNNNNNNNNNNNNNNNNNNNNNNNNNNNNNNNNNNNNNNNNNNNNNNNNNNNNNNNNNNNNNNNNNNNNNNNNNNNNNNNNNNNNNNNNNNNNNNNNNNNNNNNNNNNNNNNNNNNNNNNNNNNNNNNNNNNNNNNNNNNNNNNNNNNNNNNNNNNNNNNNNNNNNNNNNNNNNNNNNNNNNNNNNNNNNNNNNNNNNNNNNNNNNNNNNNNNNNNNNNNNNNNNNNNNNNNNNNNNNNNNNNNNNNNNNNNNNNNNNNNNNNNNNNNNNNNNNNNNNNNNNNNNNNNNNNNNNNNNNNNNNNNNNNNNNNNNNNNNNNNNNNNNNNNNNNNNNNNNNNNNNNNNNNNNNNNNNNNNNNNNNNNNNNNNNNNNNNNNNNNNNNNNNNNNNNNNNNNNNNNNNNNNNNNNNNNNNNNNNNNNNNNNNNNNNNNNNNNNNNNNNNNNNNNNNNNNNNNNNNNNNNNNNNNNNNNNNNNNNNNNNNNNNNNNNNNNNNNNNNNNNNNNNNNNNNNNNNNNNNNNNNNNNNNNNNNNNNNNNNNNNNNNNNNNNNNNNNNNNNNNNNNNNNNNNNNNNNNNNNNNNNNNNNNNNNNNNNNNNNNNNNNNNNNNNNNNNNNNNNNNNNNNNNNNNNNNNNNNNNNNNNNNNNNNNNNNNNNNNNNNNNNNNNNNNNNNNNNNNNNNNNNNNNNNNNNNNNNNNNNNNNNNNNNNNNNNNNNNNNNNNNNNNNNNNNNNNNNNNNNNNNNNNNNNNNNNNNNNNNNNNNNNNNNGUGCGCGUGGCGGCGCUCGGUUCCAGAUGCGUGCGUGGCGGCUGUGGUGCGGGCGUCUCGGCGGCGCCCGAUCCAGAUCUGAAGGUCUCCGUCUACUUCAACCAGGGCUGCCUCCGAUGGUCCUGCUUUGGGCGGCCUUUGUCGCCGGAGUUGUACCUGUUUGGCGGCUGGAGGUGGGAGGUGGCUCCGGAGAAAUCCGAGGCCAGCAGUGCUGGCCACGACGGCGGCGACGCCCGAGGGCGCCGUACCCUUCUUGUAGGCGCCGUCCAGGUGGUCUCCUUCCCCUCUUCCUUCCACCCAGCUCGUAUGACGGGCGAAAGCCCAAAUCCUUGCCGGAUCGAGCGACAGCGGCGCUCCGGGCGUCGUCACCCUCUUGGGGGUGUCGUUCGUGGUGAGCUUGGGAUGGAUGUGAUGCUUUGGUUGCUUGGCGGCGGUUGGUGGCGUGGUCGGAGUUCGUCUGGUGGCGGUGCGUUGGCGCUCUGCCGCCUAUGUGCUCAGCCUCAGAGUCCUUCUUCCACGGUGCUUGGUCUUCAGCAGCCUUGCCGGACUCGGCGGAGCGGUGCUUCAUCCUACUCAUUGAUGGCGGCGUAUCUCGGCGGCGUGGCGCAGUGGAGAUUCGGCGUUCGAUGUGUGACGAUGGACUCGCGCAGGAGGACGAAGCUGUCUGGUGUCGUGGUGACGUCGAUGGCUGAGUGGCCAGACAAGGUAGAAGCCUCAAUAUUUGCUCUGAAGACGGACCUGUGAAAGAUGGCGGCGACGACACACGAGUGCGUCGGACCGGUUUGUGCCCCAGACCCGGUAUGUGGCUCGGCCGGGGCUUCCGGCUUUUGAUGUUAGGCUUAGGUGAGUGGUCUGGGUAGUGGCCCAGGUAGCACCCCUUCAUCAUUUUGAUGUUAGGCUUAGAUGAGUGGUCUGGGUAUGUGGCCCAGCUAGCACGCCUUCAUCAUUUGGAUAGGAGUAAGGGCAUAUGUUGCCAAGAUGGCGGAUUCAGGCAUAUUGUUGUAAUACUUUGUAAGGUCCUCGAGAAUAAUCAAUAAAGUGGCCGCAUGCAUCUCCCAGAUGCAGAGGCCGGGGGUCAUCCUCCUUUUCUAAAAAAAAAAAAAAAACAGGAGCAUACGGGCAAGCAAGCACGCGCCUCAUCUCUCCCAGUCCCGCGCACGGUUGCUCCAUAGUCCAGAUUAGCAACUCAGGACACGGCGCUCAGGCUCAGCUCCUGCUUCCCCGCCGUCCUAGAAACGAGCGCAGUGGUUCCGUUGCGCUUGAGGAAGCUGGAGUACCAGCGAGCCGAGAGCCUGGCCUGCCGCGGCCGCCCCUCGUCGGCGAAGUCCACGCGGUACAGCCCGUACCUAGACUGGUACCCGGCCAGGAGCUCGAACAGGUCCACGAAUGCCCACGCGAAGUAGCCUCUCACGUCGGCUCCCUUCCUGCACAACAAACAAACAAACAGAGCAUCACGAUACAAGCAAUUUUCCUUCUGUCCCAGGGAACCGCGUAUGUAUGUGAUCCCGAGCACCUCAUCGCGUUAAGUGUGCUUUCCACGUAGCUCCCCAGGAAGCCGACCCUAUCGGUGUCAUCUAGGCUGUCAUCGGCAGAUCCCAUGCCUGAAACCAACCACAUGACAACAUGAGUAACAAUGCACCUUAAUUUGUUCUUCAGCAGAGGCUUUGCUUCUGGUUGGGAAUUCUGCUUGCCAUUCUCUUGGACAUAGACCGGAAGGCUCCCGUAGGUUUCUUUCAGGUACUCCAGUUGAAGUUCCAGCCCUCUGGGAUCACUUGGAACAUCUGCUGGGGGACCCUGCACUCCAAUAAGGAUCAUCUUUGACAGUUGCUAUCAAGCUUUCGGUAUCGGUUUUUAAUGGGCACGUAUUUCUUUUCUAAUCUCCUGAAGGAGUUCAGAACAUAUGAUAUAAUCCAACGGAUGUGCGUUGAAUGGCCAAAAUAACUGCAUUUUUAGCUAACAAUUGGCAACUUCUUUGCAAAACACAUUGACGACAUAGUAUUUUUUUUACCUGACCAGAUGGUGGGUCUGUCCUAGAACCUGCAUCAUACAAAGGGGUCACUGGUUAAACAGUACGUUCAACUCUUUUCUGUUACAUUGGUGUACAAAAACAUGCUUUGAGAUGUAUAAUAGGCACUAAUUAAACGUGUUUCCAGGGAUGAUUAAAGACUGCACUCAGAGACAUGCCCAAUUUACGCCACUGGUGAAUCUGGAAAUGUUGCUUGCCAGCUUGUCUCUGCAAUUAGCAUUAGCAGGGCAUCGUUUCACAGCAGCUUGGCUAGGCUCUUUUUUUGGGGGGUAAUCAGGAUUCGGGAAUCUCCUUAUUUGCUUGUGUAACCGUUGCUAGAAAAAUGAAUAUUAAGCCUACUGCUGCACACAAUUUCUAGUGCAACUGCUUAAUUAACCGUUGGAUGGAGAAUAAAUGUCCUAGAAAAAGAAACUCUAAAAAGCCAAUCAAAUUGCACAUCCACACAGUACAUAACUCUCAGCAGUUAACAACAAUCCUAGUAUCACUAUCCAGAAAAGAUACUUACCCCUUAAACUAACUGAUAUGUCUGCGCUGUAGUCUCAAACCCCUGUUGCUAGUGGGCGAUCAUUCACGUAGAGAGAGUAGUAGUGAUUUAUUCCAAUAAAAUCUAAAGAACCCUUGAUGAGUUCAGAUUGAACUUUCGUGAAGGGUGGAAGGCGAGAGCCAACAAUCUUCUUCAUUACUUCUGGGUAGUCCCCAAACACCAAUGGAUCUAGUAUCCUGCCAAGUACCGCACUUAAGAUCUCAACAAUGCACGUAUUAUGCAGGUUAAAUUAAAUGCUUCCAGUGACAAAAUUGAGGUAUAAUAUCGAUCAUACCAGCCAAAGAAGAAAUCUUUACAUCUCCGGGUUGCAGCUAAAUCCACAGUGGAAUUUGUCAAUGGAUAACUCCAGAAAGAGUAGAUACUUAUGCCAACAACUCCUUUUUGCAUGGCCUGCGUCCAAAAAGGUUCCUUAGUUUUUUAUGAGCCUAAGCAUCACCAAAACUUUUCAAGUACAAGAUCAUCCACUCACUUGAUAUUUCUUUCUGUACAGACUGACAACUGAUCCAUGAGCCAUAAGGGUAUUAUGAGCUGCUAUGUAUGGUUCCACAGUAGAGUCCCCAGCGGUGCACUUUGUCGCUCCAAAUGGAUCUGAGCAACGGCCAGGAGGGAAUGUAGCAACAUCAUAAGAGGCCAAUAUGCCAAUGUUUGGCUCAUUCACCGUCGUCCAAGAUGCAACCCUAUCACCAAACUCCCUGAAGCAAACAUCUGCAUAUGCUGUGAAAUCUUCGCUGCAAUUUUUUAGAUUUGAAAAUAUGAAUAGAACAAAUGAUUAUGUUGUAAUAUGCCAAUGAAAUAUAAAAUCGCCACUGCGGUAGAGUUAUAUAUUUGGUAGUGAAAUCAUAUAUACACUUACAUAAUUUUGGGGCUUAACCAUCCACCGUACUCGUCUUCAAGAAUCUGGGGGAGAUCUAGAUGGUGGAGUGUGAUGUGGACUUGAACUCCUGGGAUAAUACCACGGAGACCAGACGGUUCAAACUUUUAUUUGCAUGCGUUUCUCUUUCUUGAGAAGGAACAUGAUUAUAUGAGGUAUGAAUCUAACAACCGAUUGCAGUUGAACAUUUAAAAUGCUCAAGGAUCUAACAAUAAUACUUGCCAUGAUUCACUAGCUCGUCAAUGAGGUUAUUGUAGUACUGUAGCCCUUUGGGAUUGACAGCUCCGCGUCCAUCUACAAACCCGAAAUUUCCAGAAACAAUGAUAUAGAUUAGAAAACUUAUUAAAGCAAUUUGCUCUGAUGAAGGUCAUGAUAAUAUCUGUACUUGGAAUGAGCCUUGACCAGGAGAUGGAGAACCUAUAGGCCUCUAGGCCUGUCUCAUACAUGCGCUUGACAUCCUCCUGCAAAAUCAGAUAAGCCAAAUUUCUUUCAGAAUUACAAAAGCAGAGAAAUGCUCAAGAUUUUGCAAGGCCCCUCCUACCAUGUAUUUGUGGUACCCAUCUGCAGCAACAUCUCCCGUGCUUUUGUCUGGCAUUUUGCCUGCAAGAUAAAAAUUCUAGCUGUCAAAAUUAGCCUAAAUAUUUCCUCAAAAAAAUUGGCCUAAAUGUGAUUGGUCAACCACAUCAAGUUCUGGUCUCUGCUAUUGCCAAUAAUUUCUCUGAAUUCAGUUAUGCUUCAGCACCAUAAAUGCUAGCUGUGUAAAUUGUUCCACCAAGAGGGCGCUCAUCCCAAAUAUCCACUCAACGCAUUAAUAAGGAAAAGUGAUCACAAAUUGCUCGAGGUGCUAUUUGUUACGCAUUGGGGAAUAUCCAUGGUCAGGCUAAAACAAAAUGCAGCACCGGAAAAUCAGAGGCAGAUUUCACAAACAAACAGGAGUAGUAACCAACCUGCAUGAGUGAAAGUGUCCCAACUGCUUGGGCUCCUGCCAUCCUCAGCAACAGCACCCUCAUACUGCAUGCCAAAAAAAAAAAAACAGACACCAAAAUUGAUCAAACGGACGACGAAAUAAGCACGCCAGAACUUUCAGCCCAAACAAGAUAGUAGAUUACUUACUUGGUAUGCCGAGGUUCCAGCUCCAAAGACGAACUCCUGUGGGAAAUCUCUUCUUGUGAAGCCAAGGCCAGUCGCAGCCGCACCCUGAGCCCAGAGGAACAGCAAGAGGUAGAAGAAGGAAGCAGAGGCACCACCCAUCUGUGGCUGUGUUCUUCUGUGCAUAGCUGAUUCGUUCGCUUCGUCCGGAGAAGAUUUAUGUACCAGAAAGAGGAAUAAUCUCAACAGCAACCCCAACCUUACCUUCGUGGAAAUCAACCAGAUUAAACAACAUUUCUCUGCCUUCAGACGGAGCUGGUGUGGAUAUGUGCAGCUAUACAAUGUGUGCCUGCACGUUUCAGUGGAAACCUUUAUCUGAAUGCACAUGGCAUUUCUUUUCAAGAAAUAUAUAUAUAUGCCUGGGUCUUGGGUGCUGAGAUAUACAAUUUUUUGCUGCUCGUGAUCGGCUCGCUGAAUUGGUUGAGUUCAACUGCCCCUUCAGCGCUCCACGGGCCCGUUAUUUUUUUUGGACAAAUGCAUCAUGUAUCCUAUGGAUAAACACAGAUCGGUACGAGUGGUUGGCACAGAUUAAUAAAAGACACCGCGUUAUUUUAGAAAAUACAAUUCCCCGAGUUGAGCAGGACUGGCUGUGCAUAAAAAAAAAAAAACCAAGAGCAGGCAUUGCAGCACCAGCAUCAGCACCUGUCCCUCUUCUCCAGGUUCUCGCGCGCUGAUGGAGCUGCGGAAACGACCAGUUGACGACGAACAGGCACUGCGGAAACGACCAGUGGACAGCGGAGAGCUCGCGAAUUGCAUUUUUUACCGGCAGCGGGAUGUACCGGUAAAGGAUCCACCAUCCGCAAUUUGCUCAAGAUGCGUGCUGUCUUUCUGCGUAUAAGUGAGUUAUAAAGAGAGUUUUAUAUGCUAAAGGAAUCAAUACAAAAGAAUACGCCUGGUGCAUGUCAGUUUUUGUCAGGAAAGAGGGAGAGAGAGUGCACAGAAGGACAGUGCAUGCAUUCUUUAUAUUCUUCCUCUCCCAUACAAAAAGCAACCCUUUUAUUUCUAAGUGAUAUUUUAAAAUAUUUAUAUCUUCUAGACUAAAAUUCCGUUUUCAACUUUUUUUUACAUAUUUGAAUUCCUCGUGGCAAGACCUUUCAAACAACAUCAAAUUUGGAUACAAUUCAAAGCCAUUUAAUUUUUACUACUCAAGUUUCAGUGCACAGAAGGAGUAUUUCAGUUUCAGUUUUACAUUAUAUAUACCAGUUGCAUUUCAUUUUCAUAUUUCAAUCUCACAUACUUGAAAAUGGAUACAGUACUGAAAUUGGUUUCGAAAUCGAAAUGGAUGUGGUGAAAAUUUUAAUUUUAAUUUCGGUCUCUUAUCGUAUUUAACUAUUGUAUUUAAAUUUCAUAUUUCAAUCUCACAUUUAUUAAAAAUGGACAUGCUACUGAAACUGGUCAGGAAAUUGAAAUAGAUGCGGUCUGGAAAUUUCAAUUUCAAUUUCAUGUUUCAGUCUCACAUUAUAUACCAUUUCAAUUUCAUAUUUCACUCACACAUUAUUUGAAAUUGGGGCAGUACUAAAACUGGUCUGAAAAUUGAAAUUCCACCGGUAUUGAAAUUUAUAUGCUGACAAAGUGAUAUGGUAGUGACGCAUAUGGUAUUGAAAUGCAUCUCGGGACAGUGUGAUCCGGUAUUGAAAUGCAUGUAAUAACAAAGUGAUUAUGUAAUUGAAACGCAUCUACUAUGUUAUUGAAAUAUAUGACAUAAAUGCACACAUGGACUUUAUUUCAAUCUCAAUCCAUGGAAUAAAAGGUUAAAAUUUGUUAAACCCAUUUCAAUUCUAAUCAACUUUGUGAAACAAAAAAUAAUUAAGUGAGCUUAAAAAAUAUUCAAUAUUGAUCUGUUUGAAAGAUCUUGUCACCAUGAUACCAAAUAUAAAAAAAAAAUCAAAAAACACAUUCCGGUUUAAAAGAUAUGGAUCAUGAAAAAAGUAAGAAAAUUAAUGCUAGUAUUUUCAUGGGAAGUGAGAUGGAGAGUGGCAGAGUCAUGCAUGCAUGCUGCGUCCUUUACUUUGCCACAAAACAGGUGAUGAGACCAAAUGAUGUGACUUAAUUUUGCUAUACGGUGUGAGCUACAUACAAUACAACAUAGCAGGCGAAUCCAAAUUGUAGGAUCUUAAUGCGAAUAAAAGGUAGAUACCUACCGGUAAAAAAGACUUUGCCGGAGAGCUCGGGGGUGCCGUGAAGAUGGAGGGAUUAACGGUUUCACGGAGGAAUCAAAGUGCGAAAGUGGAGAGGAAGAAGAAACACCAAACCUUGCCACCGGAGGCGAGACGUCGAGUGCCUUUUUGUUGGGAGCCAUGAGGGUUGUUGAACUUGAACAACUCGAGACCCGCAUUUACAAAUCCUUCUUUCAUAGGGCAGCACAAAAUCGAAAAUGCCAAAUAGAGGUUGAGCUCCAUGGAUGCCUUAACUAAAAAAAAUUCAUACAUCUAUGUUUAAAAAACGUUUGAACAAAAUACACGUAUAUCCAGAGACAUAAUAUACACGUGUGUAAAUUUUUAUGAUAAAAAACGUUAAAAUGAGAGCUUACAAAAACUGUGGCAUUACACCUUUUUUCUUUUGAGCAAAGUGGCAUUACAACCCUUGGGCCUAGCCCAUCCGACCCAUUCCCGGCUUUCACUUUCUUUCUUGAGGAAGGCGUAAGAGCAGACUGACAGAAACAACCCCAAGCGGCAGCCGAAGAACUCAGAACCUCCGAGAGAGACGACCCAACUCAGAAUUCGCAAGCCUCGCUUACUCGCCGGAGCAGCCCACGCACCAGAUGGCCGCGGCAAUGGAGGUCGACGCCGGCGGAGAGAAGCCGUCGGAGAAGGAGCUCUUCCUCGCCGCGGAGUCCGGGGACGCCAGCGUCUUCGCCUCCCUCGCCCCCGCCGACCUCGCCGCCGCUCUCUCCCUCCGCAACGAGGACGGCCGCUCCCUCGUCCACGUCGCCGCCGCCUCCGCCCGCCCCGAGGCAAGCGCCGCUGCUUCCCCGCGAUAUUAGCCCCCAAAUCUAUCUGCUCGCCCUCCGGGUUUAGGGUUUUGACCCUUUUGGCUUUGGGGGCUGUUUGGUGGUUUAGGCCGUCGCCGCGCUUGUGGCUGCGGGGGGCGACGCCGUGGCGAGCGCCGUGAACGGGAAGGACGAGGAAGGGUGGGCGCCGAUUCACUCGGUGGCCAGCAGCGGCAACGCCGAGAUCCUCGACAUCCUGCUCGGUCACGGUACGAGACCCUGCCGCUGUACUUGCGUGAAAACUGUGCUGUUUGUGCAAGCUUCUGCAGUUAGUUGGUGAAAUUGGCGUAGGAUGAUGGGUUGAUAGCUUCCUUUGACACUGCUUGCACGGGUUAUUUCUGCCUAGUGCGAUAAUUAGCAAGGUUGCAAUUAAUUAGCAGGUAUUGCUGCUGGAAAUGUUAGGGCGAUUUGGUCGAAUUGUCGUCGCCUGACUGAUUUAUCCUAGAUGACUGAUGGUUCCAUGAUUUUAUUUGGAUAUGCUCAACUUCCUGUGCAGCUGAUAAAGGUGAAUUUGACAGGGUCGUCAAUUUUGGAACUGUUGAUUUUAUCAUGUUCCAUACAGUAUUUGGAUGCAACUUAACUUGAACAGCUAGAAUGAUUGCAGCAGGGUAUUAAACAUUACUCGAAGAAAUAUUGGGUUUUGGGUAGUGAUAAGAACUCAUUAUUUCUGCUUUGCUUUUUUCUCUCAGGCAAACUUUGCCAUGAAUUUUACUACACAUCGCUGGUGUCCUGUUCUUAGUUCUUAUUCAGUACUUAUGACACUUUAGUUUAUAUAUGUGGCAAGAUAAAAUAGAGCUGAUAUGCAUGGCAAGGAUAGGACUGAUGUGGAAUAUAAUGUUAUACAUCUUCAUUUCUGAAUAGUUUCCUAGCAAAGUUUAAUCCUUCUGAAAAAGGUGGCUCUGUCUGAUGUCUGUGGCACUGCAUAGCACAUUGGCCUAACUAGGUAUCCUUUGUGUAAGACGACCAUAUGCGGCUAGAUUUCUUUNNNNNNNNNNNNNNNNNNNNNNNNNNNNNNNNNNNNNNNNNNNNNNNNNNNNNNNNNNNNNNNNNNNNNNNNNNNNNNNNNNNNNNNNNNNNNNNNNNNNNNNNNNNNNNNNNNNNNNNNNNNNNNNNNNNNNNNNNNNNNNNNNNNNNNNNNNNNNNNNNNNNNNNNNNNNNNNNNNNNNNNNNNNNNNNNNNNNNNNNNNNNNNNNNNNNNNNNCCCCUAGGGUUGAAGAAGCCACACCAGUUUGUCAGUUUUCUUGUUCGUUCUUUAUGUGCAGUAUAUUGUGAUGAAAUUAGCAGCUAUCCUGCUACUUCUGUAAAAAAAAGUCUCCCUGCUGUAGAUGUGUCUUCUGAUAUAAGCAUUAUGCUAUGCUUGCUGUUCUUAAAUGAGUUUAUGCUCCAUUCAUCUGUAUGAAUUUGAUAUCUCAAUAGUCUAAUCUUCACCUUUCAGCGAGUUCCUGGUAACAGACAUAACUAUAGUUAUAAAUUUAAUAUAUACCAGGUGCAAAUGUUGAUUUGACUACUGAUGCUGGCCGAACUGCUCUUCACUAUGCUGCUAGUAAAGGGAGGCUUAACAUUGCUGAAACGCUGAUAGCUCAUCGUGCAAAUGUCAACAAGAAAGAUAAGGUUUGUAAACUUCUAGUGAUCUAGAAGGAAUACCAUGGAUGGACUCUCAAAUCUGGUUUCAUGUAAUUUAAUCUUCACCUUAUGGCUGGUUGUACAACCACCUCAAGACCAUGAAGAGAAUGAAAUAUUUUUAUCGGGAGGGUUGUGAUAUGAUCUAUGAACAUAAAACUGCAAAUGAAAUUGUAUGAGAAAGCUGAAAUGUUUACAGUGCAAUUAUUUAUUUAUUUAUUUGUAGAAAUUUACUUUAGGCAAGACAUUGCUGUCCUCUGGAUGCCAUUCAGGCAUAGAAGUUGACUAUGGUGUAGACAACCAUCUAUAUCUGCAAAUAUUAUGUUAAUUUGAAGUAUUAACUGUCAAGCACAAUAGUUUCCAUGAAAUACAUUUGUCCACUGCUUUCUACAUUAUCAUUGCAGCGUGUUUGAAGUAAUUUGGCAGAGAUGUAAAACAUUGAACUACUAUCUUGUCAGUUUGGCUGCACACCCCUGCAUAGAGCUGCAAGUACUGGAAAUGCUGAGCUGUGUGAAUACCUGCUUGAAGAAGGCGCAGAUAUUGAUGCAGUUGACAAGCUAGGACAAUCACCUCUAAUGCAUGCCGUCAUAUGCGAGGACAGAGGGGUAAUAUUUCCUUUGCUUUCAUGCACCACCUCAUUGUAUUCGUAGGUUAUGUUGAUGCUCUUUCAAAUGGUUAGAGGCUUGGAGCUUCUGUAUAUAUUUCUGUGUGUUGCAUGGUAGGCACACCUUGACUGUUCACUUAAGUUGCAGUCGAAAGUUCAGGAAAAUGAUGGUAUUUUCACCGACUUGGUGUUCAACUAUUUAGACUACUUAGUUCAUUAGCAUCCCAUUGGGUUUCAUAAAUCAAGGAAUAAUCCUGACAUCUACACGAGUUGAUUCGUUUCAAAAAUUUCCAUCUACAUUGGUUAAUUGUUCUCUGAUAUCCUUUGUAAAUAGAUGUGGAUUACUUGUAUCGCUGAUUCUUGUGUUAUAAUCGCUAUUUUAGGUUGCCCUUCUGCUGAUCAGACAUGGUGCCGAUGUUGACAUUGAAGACAAGGAGGGCUACACUGUCCUUGGCCGAGCCUCUGAUAGCUUCAGGCCUGCACUGAUUGAUGCGGCCAAGGCAAUGCUCGAAGGCUGAGGAUGUUUAGCUGCCCUAAGGUAAAAGAUAGAUGGGAGAACAUCUGGAACAGAAAAACCGUCGUUGUGUACCUCGUGAUACAAGUAUGAGCUGUUUCCCUCCAAAAUCAGAUUGACCAGUCAGACUUUUUGUUCGUGGUUAAUGAUUCUCGUGUUGACUUCGAUGUUCUGCCUUUGCGUUUUCUUCAGAUGGUUCUUUCCUAACUUUUUAGGCGUUGUUUAAACGGAUGUUCUUCAGGUGGUCAGAGGAUCCAUGGGUGGUCAGAUGCGAAUCACAUUUCCCAGAUAGGAGCAUAGGAAGGAGUUGAUGAGCAACGCAAGUCCGUGUCGUAGACGCUCCGCCAUGCUCCAUUGCCCUGCCCACAAAUGAAGACGGCAAAGCACGGGUCGCGAUGUAAACAAAUGUGGAGCUGGUGGAUCCUCUGUCCCCUGCGAUCCGCAUUGAAACCGGUCCAUGUGGUAUCCAACGCGAACGCAUGUGAUCUCCUGCCGCUAGCUUGGCUGGUUCGCGCAGUGCCGCACCUCCUGCCUUGGCUUCUGCCGGCCAGGUCCGUCCUCAGGCCGGUCACCGGCCGAUCUCUGUGGGGAGCUUCUUAUUUAAGACGGGCAGUUAGCGCAUGAUAGGACUACUGGACUAGGCCCCAGUAGCAGCUCAAUCCUAAACCCUCGGAUAAUCAGCCACCUACUGCCGCAUCCACAUACCAGCGCUGGUUCGGUCGUUCAGUGUUGAAAUUUCGGCACUCGACGCGUUUUCUGCACGGCAUCCGCAAUUUUGUUUACGCGCGCAAAUUCCGGCUGGUGGUACGGGCCAGCCGCCCAGCCGUGCCGAAACCAUACAAAAAUACUACUCCCUCAAUAAAGAAAUGUAGAAACGUAGGAGCAUUUAGAUCACUACUCCAAAUGCUCUUAUAUUUCUUUACCGAGGAAGUAGUAUACUUCUCCACAGCGCAACCAAUGAACAUAGAUUUAAACUAAUCAGUAGCGUAGAAACAGUUUCUUUCUCUCCAGUCCAGUGCACUCUUCACACUUGAUAAAUCAAUCCGCCGGUAACCAUUUGGUUCCGCAAAUCCACACCGCUAGUCAACCAAGAAUGCCCGUGGCACUACCACUCUCCUAGCCUAGGAUUAGGAACACACACCAAAGAAAUGAAGAAAUGGGGAAACUCCAAACAAUCCAUCAAACAAACGAACUCGGAAACCAGACCAGAUCGGCUAGGCUAG
rnacentral:lncRNA from 1 species